rnacentral:lncRNA from 1 species
UUCCGCAGCCCAUUUACACAUGUACAUUCCAUAUACACAAAUAAUUCCGUUGGCGCAAAUAGAACUAAGAAAUGACAAAUGAAAAGACAAGAAAUGUAGGUGCUAAAAAAAGAAAGUUCGCAUGCAGGAUGAAGCAAAACACUGGACGAUCCUUUGACAUGCAUGCACGUAGACGUACAUGCACGCACUUAAUUGGUACUAGUUGAUUGCGCGGCAGUUCUUCCUGAUCUGUCCCUGGUCACCGGUCUUGACCUCGAUGCCGGCCAUCUUCACCAUGGCCUUCUCGAACCUGUCCUCCCACCAUCCGGGGAUGUUGGCGUUGUCCACCACCAUCCUCGCCGUCUCCUCGGAGGUCAGGAGNNNNNNNNNNNNNNNNNNNNNNNNNNNNNNNNNNNNNNNNNNNNNNNNNNNNNNNNNNNNNNNNNNNNNNNNNNNNNNNNNNNNNNNNNNNNNNNNNNNNAAAGCCUGCAUGACAUGGUCCAAGGGUAAUUUCAAUCAUUCUUGCGCUCUAUCGGUCUCUUUCGAUGAUUUUCUGAUAUAUCAAUUAAUGAAAAACUUAGCAAAUUAUUAUCCUUGUCGGGCAGGGUUUGGAAGCGGUUCAAGUGCGUGACUCCCGGUAACUUUCCUGAGAAGCUGACCUUUAGAGCGGCUCAGGUAAGUAGUAGUAUGAUAUACUUAUAUUUUCAAUACAUUUAUGAUGCUAGAUUAUUAUUUUGAUUAUAUAUAUUAUAUUCUCGUAAUGUGCGACCAGCAGCCACGGGGAACGCAUCUAUGCGGAUACUAUGUUUGCGAGACCAUUCGCACGUUUACCUCUGAGCACAAGGAUCAUAGAUUCGACGUAAGCAAUGAACAUUCACACCUCUAUUUUUACCCGUCAUUCUUUGUUAUCAUGAUUGAUAUUCAUAUUCAUCUCCUCUUCUUAUACAGCACACGGCCAUGAGGACGAAUGUCCUACCAUAGCAACGCGCGAUUGCUGUUGCAGAGGAGCUUGCGGGAUUUCUGAGGACGGAAGCUAUAGAUGACAAAGGACGAUUGAGUGUAGCUAGGGGCCAUUACUAAUGUUCGUCCAUGUAAUCGAAUAGACGGGCUCUAGUCCCGAUAAUUCAGAUCUCCAUAUAAUUGUAUAUAUAUGCUCGCUUGUAAGAUAAGUUAAUCUUAUAUAUAUAUAUGCAUAAUUAUUUCUAUUUAGAAUUAUAUGAAAACUAAUUCCCGAACACCAAACGAGGCAUCACUUAAUCUCCCGAACACCUAACCCGAAAACCCUAAAACCCAAAAAUAAACGAAAUCUGAAACUCUUUAGUCCCGGUCCGUGUAAAGAACCGAGACUAAAGGGCCUGCCUCUGAGGAUGCUCCGAGGCGCCCACGUGGAGCACCUUUAGUCCCGGCUUGGAACAGGGCCGGAACUAAAGGUUAGGCCUUUAGUCCCGCCCCUUUAGUCCCGGUUGGUGAACCGGGACUAAAGCCCCUUACGGGCCGGAGCUAUAGGCCCUAUCCCCACUAGUGUAUACCAACUGAUUUGUUGAUUGUCAAUAAUUAUUAUGAUUUAUACUUGAAAUAUUGUGGAUGGAUUGUUACUUUCUUAUAAGAAUCUAUAUGAUGAAAACCUUGUUGCUAUGUCAGUAUUCAUGAUGCCCUCUUUUCCAUAUUCUAUUUUUAUAGUCACCUCUCUCUCAAAUCAUGUGGUCAUUAUUAUCGAGUUCGGCUUUCGCUUGAGGACAAGCGAGGUCUAAGCUUGGGAUAGUUGAAACGUCCAUUUUGCAUCAUGAAUUCUUAUUGAUACUUAUGUUAUUCUUGUCCAUUAUUCCUCAUUAUGAUAUAGUUCUUUUGUAUUUUCUCUCUAAAUGUGCAAGGUAAACGACCUAGAGGGAAACUGCCGGAAACUGGAAUUCUGAACUUGAAAAUCAAGAAAAAAGGUGAAAAAUCAGUUUACUCUAAAUGACCUGAAAUUUCAUGGAGAAUUUUUGUGCACUAUACUAGAAUUAUUGGGCCAAAAAUAUACCCGAGGGGGCCAUCUGCUGGCCACAAGCCAACAGGGCGCAGCUGAUAUGUCUCCAACGUAUAUAUAUUUUUUUUAAUUGUUCCAUGAUGUUAUAUUAUCGCUCCUGGAUAUUUUAUAAUCAUUUUAUAGAAAUUUUGUAUCUUUUUUUGGGACUAUCCUAUUGACAUAGUGCCUAGUGUCAGUUGUUAUUUUUUACUUAUUUUUUCCUUCGUAGUAAAUCAAUAUCAGAAGAAGUCCAAAUGCCACAAAAAAAUUUGGAGGUUUUUUUGACCAGAAGAAAACUUGUGGACCAAGGAUGCUCACCAAGGGAGGCCCAGGCGGCCCACUAGUCACAAGGGCGCGCCCUGGGCCCCGGGCGUGCCCUCGUGGGUAGUGGGGGCCUCGGGCACCUCCUCCAAUGCCUCUGAGCUCUAUGUAUACCCGAAUAUUCCAGAAACCCUAGAAGAAAACACAAAAAAUAAUUUCAACCGCUGCAAGUUACAGAAGCCACGAGAUCCAAUCUAGAGCCUGUUUCGAAGAGGAACACAGUCACGGAAGAUUCAUCAUCCUCAUUGGUGCUCCUCCGACGAUGCGUGAGUAGUUCAUAUCAAACCUACGGUCCUUAGGAAGUAGCUAGAUGGAUUUCGAUCUUGUUUUGCUUCUCAAUACAAUGGUCUCUUGGAGAUCUAUUUGCUGUAACUCUAUAUUUUGCAGUGUGUUUGUUGGGAUCCUAUGAACUGUGAGUUAGUGAUUAGAUCUAUGAAAUUAUAUCCAUUCUUAAUUAUUAGAGCCUCGUAUUUCUUCUGCGAUAUUUGGGUUUCGUUUGGCCAAAUUGAUCUUUUUAUCUUGCAAUGGAAAGAGGUGCUUUGUGAGGGGUUCGAUCAUGGAGUGCUCAAUCUCAGUGACAUAAAAAGACAUGAUACGUAUGUAUCAUUGCUAUUAAGUAUAAAAUGAUGGGGGUCUAUUGCUACAUGAAUAGAUCUUGUCCACAUCAUGUCAUCGUUCUUAAAGCAUUACUCCGUUUCUCCUUGAACUUAAUACACUCAAUGCAUGCUGGAUAGCGGUCGAUGUGUGGAAUAAUAGUAGUAGAUGAAGGCAGAAGUCAGCCUAAUUGUCUUGGACGUGAUGCCUAUAUACAUGAUCAUUAUUUUAGAUAUCUUCAUAUUUAUUCGCUCUUUUAUAAAUUGCCCAACUACCCACCGUUUGCUAUUUUCUCGAGAGAAGCCAGUAGUGAAACCUACAGUCCUCGGGUCUAUUUUACAUUAUCUAUUUGCAAUCUCUAUUUUACCAAAAAUGCAAAAAUACCUUGCUGCGUUUUAUUCACCAUUACUUUAUUUGCAUCUAUCAAUCUAUCCAUUUACCGUUUUAUUUUACCCACGAGGGAUUGACAACCCCUACACGUGUUGGGUUGCGAGGAUUUGUUAUUUGUGUGGAGGGAAAUACUUGUUGUCGUUGUGCUAUAUCAUCCUUUAAGCUUGGAGAGAAACCAACGCAAUCCGCGAGGAGUCAAGAUGUCUGGCACCGUUAUCAGGGAAGAUCAAGUGAAGAUCUAUCAGGUUCCUACAGAUAAACUCUCAUCUCCUUGCAAUUACAUUAUUGACCAUUUGCCUAUUGUUUUCCUCUUCCCCAAUUCAAAAAAAUGCCUUUUAUUUGCCUUCUUUCUGUUUGCCGUUUUCUUGCCGGAUAUCUUGUUUGCUUGUGUUCUUGCUUGAGUAGGCGUGAUGCCUCAAGGGAGGUAUUAUGAUGUUCUGUAUACCAAUAUUUUGUUAGAGAUUGAGAAAAGUAUCAAGGAGUACAUGACUAUGCAAUUUGAGAAAAAUAUUUUCUUAUCGAAGAAUUUAAGGAACAUUCUAUUUUGGUUGAUGCUGUAACAAAACAACUUGAUCAUGUCUCCCAAAUGGAUCUAGAGUCCGGAUCUAGCUCCUCCUCCGUGUACCUCAGCACCUCCCACCAAUCCUUGACGCACAUGCUCCAUGAGUAUGCGUCGUCGUAGAAUCUCAUCGCCCGCUCCAUCCAACGCCUCUCCCUUGUCGCCCGCAGUGUCAUCGGUGACACGGAGCUGAUUGGGGAAAGCAUCUUCAGGAAGGACUGGUACACAAAUGGGAGAUGCAUUCGUGGGACCGUCGAUUCGGGAGGGGUGGUGAGUAGGUCGAACUAGUUGCGUGUGGCAUGGCGCUGACUGGCAUUUUUGAAUAUACUAGCCCGUACAUUUUUGUUACGAGUUGCAAACAUGGUUUUCUUACUUGGAUUUUAUUUUUGAUUUCAUGGCGUUAAGCCAUUGAUUGGAACUAGGGCCGACCAUUCCUUCCUUGUAAUAUGUAGGUUCAUCAUCCUCUUGUAUAAAUAUCUCGUUCUCAAACUAGUGAAGCAUGUAUGACAAACUAUAGUUGUCCUGCGUGGCUUAGCUGCAGUCUUGCCUGAAGUCUUCGCACCAAAUGCUGGAACUUCCGGUAGUUGCAUAAUUAGUUCCAAGGCCUCAGCCCCUUGAGUUGUGGACGAAGAUUGAGUAAUCUCAUUUCGUUGCACUGUCUUUUCACUCACCUCUUUCGCAAGAAACUCUUUCAUGAGAAAUGUUUUGUUAUUCGAGAUUCAGUGAGGGUGGGGGCGGGGGAGGCGGCGACGACGAAUAUGGUUGUGGGCGCAAGGAAGUCUACGUUGGCAUGGCAGGUACGGCUAUGGGUGAAAUAAAUGUGAGUGACGGUGUCGGCAGGCGCGGCCCUGAGGGGGGGGGGGCGGUCGCCCCGGGCCCCCCGGGACCUGAGGGGCCCCCAACUCAGGUAUGUGUGAGCACCCAACCCCCAAUCAGCCAAAGAUGCCAUUAGAGCAGUUAGAGACUAGAGAGUAGCUGCGGUAUGGCUUUAGGAAGAAGAAAGCUGAAACGGUAUUUCCUUUAGCUACUUGGGCUUUGGGCCUUUGUUUCCUUUUGCUGAAUCGUGGCAUUAAGUGGUGGUGGGCUUUUCCUGAAAGAAGUAAUGGUGGGUUAUGUGUAAGAAAAAGUGGUGGGUUAUGUGUAAGAAAAAGUGGUGGGUUAUGUGCAAGAAAAAGUGAUGGCCGGCCACACCAAACUAGAGGAGGAAACGAGCACAUGGUACACAACUUAUAAAUUAAAAGAAGAAGAUUGGUGACCAAUUGACAUGCUUGCGUGUUGUCUGACAUUACAACCCUGACAAACUAAUAUUACUUUCUUUUUUUUUGUAAAAUAAAUCUAUUUUUUAUUUUGCAAGCGUAGCAAACUAAUACUGUAUCUCGAUAAGAAAAAUAAACAUAUCAUAAUUAUUAUAUGUGCGGUGUCCAUAAACAAAAGUAUUGUAGCGGAGACCAAGAGCGGCACGCACGAUGACGACAGACUGACGCCAUGGAUGUGCACUAUGGUCAUUCCGUAUUAUGAAUUGAGAGUUGACUGUUCUACUUUGGUGUUAAUAUUCAUAUGUGUGAUUCUAAUUGUUAUUUUGCUUCUAUAAGUUUCGUAUAUAUGAAAAAGUUUUUUCACCUAUUCAGUUUCUUCAUACAUAAAAUUUAGUGUGUGCUCCGUCACCAUGUUUCUGUGUAAUUUGCGUGCAAAUGGAUAAAUGUAAUUUAGAUGAUCUUCUGUAUUCUAAUGCCUCGGUGUGGCGACAAACUCUUGAUAUCAUGUGUGUCCCGGUCAGAAAUGACCCAUCACCGCCCUCGACGAGUCCUACCAAGAUGCAGCUACAUCAUGCACAUUAGCCCCCGCAUCGACGUGAUCUCAUAGAAGAUAUGUGUCUGAUUCUCUUUUCAUAGAUAUCAUCAGUAAAGACCUUGUGUGCAAGAUUACUGGAUUCUUUUUGGGGAGCUUCUUUUCUAUCUCGCCCUGGGUCCCCGAAAUCACAGGACCGGCCCUGGCUGUCGGUGGAGCCGAUGAUGGCUGGGAGAUACAUGGUGGUGAUGCAGCUGGAGCUUUGGAGUUUCGUGGAUGAUGGCUAGGAGGUGGCAGUGUGACAGAAACUAUUGUGCUGAGGUGGAUGUGGUGCAGCAGAAAUGAGCAUCAGGUUAACUAGACUCGAAUUGGUGCCCGCACGUUUUGUUUUAUAGUACUGGGGGAUCAAAGAAGAUGGGCUUUGGUGUUCCUUAUGUCGGGUGCUUGGUAAAGUAGACCAUGUGACGACUCAUGGCUUUCUUCAUUUCAAGAAACAAAAUGAUAAGUGUUUAUCGAGUUUCCAUUAAAACUCGACAAAGCCAGCCCCCUCUGUCACCUAGUUAUCGCCUCGUUUGUUUGGGGCCCCUCCGUCACGACUUUGGGGUGUUUCUUUCCAGGGACUUUUUGGUGUAGGGACUAAAAAAGACCCUUUUACUCCCAUGUGAAAGAAACAGGAGGGACUUUUAGGAACUAAAAGGGGGUAUUUGGGACUAAAGGAAGAUGUUCCUAUGGAAGGGACUUUUGGGGACUUUUUUUUUUGACACUUUUUCCAACAGUGCCCCUACUUUUAGCAUGCCAUUUAAUAACCUCUAGUAUAUUACUAGGGGUUACAUGGUCUUUUUGCAUGUCAUUUAAUGACCUCUAGUCCAUAUUUAGUCCUUGGAAAGAAACGGGUAGGGACUAAAUACUUUUUAGUUGAGACUAAAAAAAGUCCUAAGAGUUUUUAAAGAAACAGGGCCUUUGUCGAGUUCCUUUACCUCUGGACUCGGCAUCCCAAGGACUUUCUCAUAUUNNNNNNNNNNUGAAUGAUUGUCGAGUUGGUUUUCUUCGUCAGGUUUGUCGUGUUUCAUGCCAUUGCCCAGUUCAUUUAGGCAUGUUCUUGGCAAACUGCUAACAUUGCCGGGCUCAUGAUAAAAUACACUCGGCAAACUCCGGGAAAUAUGCAUCUUCGNNNNNNNNNNNNNNNNNNNNNNNNNNNNNNNNNNNNNNNNNNNNNNNNNNNNNNNNNNNNNNNNNNNNNNNNNNNNNNNNNNNNNNNNNNNNNNNNNNNNUCUCUCGAAGUAUCAGCGUUUCGAACGAGAACUCAUCUCUUACAAAGGUUUAUUAAAAUUCUUUUUGCAUAUUUAAGAAUUUGACAAAACUAUGAAAAUGAAAAGUGUUUGAAAUUUAGUACAUUCCAUACAUGCAUUACAUAAAAGGUUUAAUACAUUAUUACAUUAUUGUACCAAUAUUCCUAUCUAUUAUUUCUGUUUUCUUCUGGGUCGUAGCCAUGGAGAAUCUUCAUCAUUCAGUAGGAUGCUUGGGUCAGUUUUCACUUUGAAGGGCGGAAUUUCAUGAAACUUAUUAUAAUCUUCUGACAUGUAUGUCUUGUCAUCUACUCCCACGAUGUUUCUUUUCCCUGAAAGAACUAUGUGGCGUUUUGGCUCAUCGGACGAUAUCUUCUUUUGCUGAUUUCUUUUUCUCGUUUUUGUAGACAUGUCCUUCANNNNNNNNNNNNNNNNNNNNNNNNNNNNNNNNNNNNNNNNNNNNNNNNNNNNNNNNNNNNNNNNNNNNNNNNNNNNNNNNNNNNNNNNNNNNNNNNNCAUAGAAAACCUGAGCGAUAUCAUUGGCUAGGACAAAUGGUCCGUCCAUGUAUGCAAGAUUGUUGAGAUCCACUGUUGUCAUGUCGUACUUUUGGUCUACAACUACCCCGCCUCUUGUNNNNNNNNNNNNNNNNNNNNNNNNNNNNNNNNNNNNNNNNNNNNNNNNNNNNNNNNNNNNNNNNNNNNNNNNNNNNNNNNNNNNNNNNNNNNNNNNNNNNUUUUGAGCUAGUUGACCCUGAAAUUGAAAAGCACUACAAAUGAACUCUGAAAAUGUUGAAACUUGGCAUGCUAUCAUGAUUUCACCCACAUAGCAUGUGUUAAAAAGUUGAGAGGGCUACGACAAAAACUGAAUGCACUUCGUGUACAAAACGGACAAUCUCUCUCGAAGUAUCAGGGUUUCGAACGAGAACUCAUCUCUUACAAAGGGAUUUCCUUUUUUGGAACUUAUUUGAACUCCAUACUUUUUGUGUGUUCGAAAUGCACCAUUCAAAGGCACAUCACAAAAUUUCAACAAUUUCUGACUNNNNNNNNNNNNNNNNNNNNNNNNNNNNNNNNNNNNNNNNNNNNNNNNNNNNNNNNNNNNNNNNNNNNNNNNNNNNNNNNNNNNNNNNNNNNNNNNNNNNNNNNNNNNNNNNNNNNNNNNNNNNNNNUGAAAUUGAAAAGCACUACAAAUGAACUCUGAAAAUGUUGAAAGUUGGCAUGAUAUCAUAAUUUCACCCACAUAGCAUGUGUUAAAAAGUUGAGAGGUCUACGACAAAAACUGGACGCACUUCGUGUACAAAACGGACAAUCUCUCUCGAAGUAUGAGGGUUUCGAACGAGAACUCAUCUCUUACAAAGGGAUUUCAUUUUUUGAACUUAUUUGAACUCCAUACUUUUUGUGUGUUCAAAAUGCANNNNNNNNNNNNNNNNNNNNNNNNNNNNNNNNNNNNNNNNNNNNNNNNNNNNNNNNNNNNNNNNNNNNNNNNNNNNNNNNNNNNNNNNNNNNNNNNNNNNCAGCUGCGAACAUUUAAUAAAAAUACUAUCUAGGGUGCAAUCUUAAUAAAUAAGUCAUUAUUCGUCUUCUUUCAUACCGGUACUCAUCCGGGUUGGGGAUGAACACGUCAACAAAAUCAGGAUUAGAGAUGAAACUGAAGGUCACUUGACUGAUUCUUUGUACGUAUUAAAUCUACAUGCAAGCCGUGUUAAAAUAGAAGACUUGUGAAAUUUUGAACAGCAUUUUUGUAGGAUAAAACCAUCUUUAUUUGUGUCGUAACUACAAAUUCUCAGAUUAUAGACCAUUUUUUUAUAAAUUAAGAGCGUGUGGUAUUUCUUUUCCCGUUGCAACGCAUGGGCCCUUUUGCUAGUAAAAUAAUAAAGCGGCUAUUGCUUCCGUCGGAAAACCCACCGCGUCAUUUUUAUAAAAUAGCCCCUGUAAUUUUUGUUAUUCAACCCGCGCUCCAUCAUUUAUCUGCAACGCAAAAGAAAAAAAUGAUUCGCUGUAAAAAUUAUACCCAUACGCAUCGCCUCCUCCCGUCGACCCUGGGCCACCCUGGCCUGAGCUCAGGCCGCCGCGGCCGACCUCAACCGCCACCGCUGCCGAUCUCAACCCACCCGCCUCCGCGGCCGUACCUCUCCCCGCUCACUGCCCCCGUUGCGGUGCUCGAGCGCAUCACGUCGACCCUGGUCCACCCUGGCCUGUGCCCAGGCCGCUGCCAAACCACUCGCCGCCGCGGCGGACCUCAACCACCACCGCUGUCGAUCUCAAUCCACCCGCCUCCGCGGCCGUACCUCUGCCCGCUUAUUGCCCCCGUUUCAGCGCUCGAGCACGGCUUCUGGAUCAAAUCAACGCGACAGCUACAGUGACUAGGGAUGAUGCGUCUGCUCGAUGCAGAACGGCGGCGGUGCGCGGAUAAGGCGCGGCGGAGCGAAGUACAUGCAGGCGGAGACGGGCCUCCAUGACUCAUACGGGGAACUCCGAGGUUAUGGCGCGGCAACGGCGACUCCUUAUGGCCAGAUAGAGGCGCCUAACCCUUUCUCCCUCAUCGUAUCCCCUCCUCCGGCAGGAACUCAUCAUCUAGUGAGAUCCCUCCCCAUGCGUCCAACCGUGUGCCAAGCACCGGCAAGAAAUUUUGUUUUGUGGGGAUUUGUUUGCUGAUGAAUGAAUGUAUUGAAUGUAAGAUUGCAUUAUUGUAGAGACAAAGAAUGGAACACCACCUCCAGUUUGUCAUCUGAUCCCACAUUUUCUAUCCCAUGAGUGAAAUAAGAUAACAGUCCAUUGAUCAAUUCACGUAGCCUCUUUGUUUUGCUUUGCUUGUUUCGUUCAAUUUUUCAUCAUGGUGGGAUUAACAAUGGACGGGUUGAUUUCUCAACAAAAUAGGAUAGAACUAACUACAUUAGUUAGUUAGCUUAUUAUUUUAAUAAAUCAAAAUGAUUAUAAAAAGAUUAAAAGCGUAUGGUAUUUUUUCUCCCGAUGCAACGCACGGGCCCUUUUGCUAGUAAAGUUAAUAAGUUAUUCAUGUAACAUGUUUUGGAUAGCGAUUUUGGAUGUUUUGAACAUGACAUCUGAACCUCUGCCAUGAUUCCCUGAAUCAGUUGGUAUAUACCUGUUACCCAAAAAAAAAGUUAGUAUACCGUAAUUGACGAAGAUGCAUAUUUCCCGGAGUUUGCCGAGUGUAUUUUAUCAUGAGCCCGGCAAUGUUAGCAGUUUGCCAAGAACAUGCCUAAAUGAACUGGGCAAUGGCAUGAAACACGACAAACCUGACGAAGAAAACCAACUCGACAAUCAUUCAAAAUAUGAGAAAGUCCUUGGGAUGCCGAGUCCCGAGGUAAAGGAACUCGGCAAAGUACUGACGGAGGGGCCUCAAACAAACGAGGCGACAACUCGGUGACAGAAGGGGCUGGCUUUGUGCUGCCGGAGAACUCAUCUACUUCUCCGUCUCUCUUGCUGGAUCAAGAAGGCCGAGAUCGUCAUUGAGUUGUACGUGUGCUGUACGCGGAGGUGUUGUCCGUUCGGUGCUAGAUCGGAACCCAUCAUGGGAAGAUGGUGAUUUGAAUCACGAAGCUGUACCACUACAUCAACCGCGUUUCUUAACGCUUCCCGCUUAGCGAUCUACAAGGGUACGUAGAUCUAGUCUCCUCUCGUAGAUGGAUAUCACCAUGAUAGGUCUUCGUGUGCGUAGGAAAAUUUUGUUUCCCAUGCAACAUUCCCCAAUAGUGGCAUCAUGAGCUAGGUUCAUGUGUAGAUGUUAUCUCGAGUGGAACACAAAAGGUUUUGUGGACGUUGAUGUUCGAUUUGCUGCCCUCCUUAGUCUUUUCUCGAUUCGGCGUAUUGUUGGAUUGAAGCGGUCCGGACCGACAUUACUCGUACGCUUACGAGAGACUGGUUUCAUCGACUAAGAUGCAACUUGUUGCAUAAAGAUGACUGGCGGGUGCCUGUUUCUUCAACUUUGGUUGAAUUGGUUUUGACCGAGGCGAUCCUUGGAGAGAGGUUAAAUAGCAAUUUGCACAUCUCCGUUGUGGUUUUUGCGUCAGUAAGACGCGAUUAUACUAGAUACCCAUAGCAGACACGUAAAACAUGCAACAACAAAUUAGAGGACGUCGAACAUGUUUUUACAGGGUAUGCUUGUGAUAUGAUAUGGCCAAUGACGUGAUGUGAUAUUUUGGAUGUAUGAGAUGAUCAUGUUGUAAUAGUUAAUAUCGACUUGCACGUCGAUGCUAUGGCAACCGACAGGAGCCAUAGGGUUGUCUUUAAACUAACGUUUGUGUUUGCAGAUGUGUUUACUAUAUUGCUAGGUUGUAGCUUUAGUAGUAAUAGUAUAGAUAGCACGACAACCUCGGUGGUAGCACGUUGAUGGAGAUCAUAGUGUGGCGCCGGUGACAAGAGGAUCAUGCCGGUGCUUUGGUGAUGGAGAUCAAGAAGCACAAGAUGAUGGCCAUGUCAUGUCAUUUAUGAAUUGCAUGUGAUGUUAAUCCUUUUAUGCACCUUAUUUUGAUUAGAACGACGGUAGUAUUAUAAGGUGAUCUCUCACUAAAAUUUCAAGAUGAAAUUGUGCUAUCCCCGACUGUGCACCGUUGCGACAGUUCGUCGUUUCAAGACACCACGUGAUGAUCGGGUGUGAUAGACUCAACGUUCACAUACAAUGGGUGCAAAACAGUUGCACACGCGGAACACUCGGGUUAAACUUGACGAGCCUAGCAUGUGCAAACAUGGCCUCGGAACACAUGAGAGCGACAGGUCGAGCAUGAAUCGUAUAGUUGUUAUGAUUAGCAUAGAGAUGCUUACCACUGACACUAUUCUCAACUCACGUGAUGAUCGGACUUGAGUUGGUGAAUUUGGAUCAUGUAACACUCAAAUGACUAGAGAGAUGUACUUUUUGAGUGGGAGUUUAUGAGUAAUUUGAUUAGUUAAACUCUAAUUAUCUUAAACAUAGUCUAAGUCCACUUUGUAAUAUUUUUGUGUAGAUCAAUGGCUCACACAACAGUCACCCUGAAUUUUAAUACGUUCCUAGAGAAAGCUAAAUUGAAAGAUGAUGGAAGCAACUUUGUAGACUGGGAUCGUAAACUUAAGAUGCUCCUCCAAGCUGGGAAGAAGGAUUAUGUACUUAAUGCUGCGCUAGGAGAUGAACCACCCGCUACGUCUAGCCAAGAUGUUUUGAACGCGUGGUUAACACGUAAGGAGGAGUACUCGGUAGUUCAAUGUGCAGUCUUGUAUGGCUUAGAGCCGGGACUUCAACAUCGCUUUGAGUGUCAUGGAGCAUAUGAUAUGUUCCAGGAGUUGAAGUUUAUCUUUCAGAAAAACGCCCGGAUCGAGAGGUAUGAGACCUCAGAUAAAUUCUAUGCUUGCAAGAUGGAGGAGAAUUCGUUUGUCAGUGAACAUGUGCUCAAAAUGUCCUGGUACUCAAACCGUCUAGCUGAGCUGGGGAUUGAACUCCCGCAAGAGCCUAUCACUGACAUAAUUCUUCAAUCACUCCCACCUAGCUAUAAGAGCUUUGUGUUCAACUAUAACAUGCAAGGGAUGAACAAGUCACCCAACGAGUUAUUCGCGAUGCUGAAAGUCGCAGAGUCAGAACUCCAGAAAGAGCAUCAAGUGUUGAUGGCCAAGAAGACCACUAGUUUCAAUAGAAACGACAAAGGCAAGAAGGGUAACUCCAAGAAGAGCGGCAAGCUUGUUGCCAAUCCGACGAAGAAACCCAAGGCUGGACCUAAUCCUGAAACAGAGUGUUAUUAUUGCAAGGGACUGGGUCACUUGAAGCGCAACUGCCCCAAGUAUUUGGCUGAUAAGAACGCGGCCAAGCAAAAAUCAGGUAUAUUUGAUAUGCAUGUUAUUGAUGUGUACUUAACCAACUCUCGUAGUAGUGCCUGGGUAUUCAAUACCGGUUCUGUUGCUUAUAUUUGCAACUUGAAGCAGGAAAUGCGGAAUAAACAAAGGUUGGCGAAAGAUGAAGUGACAAUGCGCGUGGGAAAGAUUCCAAGGUUGAUGCAAUCGCCGUCGGCACAGUCUCACUUCAGUUACCAUCAGGAUUAGUUAUAAACUUAAAUAAUUGUUAUUUAGUGCGUGCGUUAAGCAUGAAUAUUAUAUCUGGAUCUUGUUUAUUGCGAGACGAUUACUCGUUUCAGUCAGAUAAUAAUGGUUGUUCUAUUUCUAUGAGUAAUAUAUUUUAUGGUCAUACACCCAAUGUGAGAGGGUUGUUCAUAUUGAAUCUUGAUAGCGAUGAUACACAUAUACAUAACAUUGAGACCAAAAGAUGUAGAAUAAACAAUGAUAGCGCCAUGUUUUUGUGGCACUACCGCUUGGGUCAUAAUGCUGUAAAGCGCAUGAAGAAACUCCAUUACGAUGGGAUUUUGGAGUCACUUGAUUUUGAAUCACUUGACACGUGCGAACCAUGCCUCAUGGGUGAGAUGACUAAGACUCCGUUCUCCGGAACAGUGGAGCGUGCAAGUGACUUGUUGGAAAUCAGACAUACCGAUGUAUGCGGUCUGAUGAGUGUGGAAGUGCGCGACGGAUAUCCUUAUUUUCUCACCUUCACUGACGAUUUGAGUAGGUAUGGAUAUAUCUACUUGAUGAAGCACAAGUGUGAAACGUUUGAGAAGUUCAAGCAAUUUCAGAGUGAAGUUGAAAAUCAUCGUAACAAGAAGAUCAAGUUCCUACGUUCUGAUCACGGGGGUGAAUAUAUGAGUUUCGAGUUUGAUGCUCACUUAAGACAAUGUGGAAUUGUUUCACAGUUGACACCACGUGGAACACCAUGGCGUAAUGGUGUGUCCGAACGUCGUAAUCGUACUUUGUUAGAAAUGGUGCGAUCUAUGAUGUCUCUUACCGAUUUGCCGUUAUCAUUUUGGGGUUAUGCAUUAGAGACACCUGCAUUCACUUUAAAUAGGGCACAAUCAAAAUCCGUUGAGACGACACCAUACGAACUAUGGUAUGGCAAAAGACCGAAGUUGUCAUUUCAAGGUUUGGGGAUAUGAUGCUUAUGUCAAAAAGCUUCAGCCCGAAAAGCUGGAACCCAAAGCGGAAAGGUGCAUCUUCAUAGGUUACCCAAAGGAGACAGUUGGGUACACCUUCUAUCUCAAAUCCGAGGGCAAAACGUUUGUUGCUAAAAACGGAGCUUUUCUUGAGAAGGAGUUUCUCUCGAAAGAAUUGAGUGGGAUGAAGAUAGAACUUGAUGAGGUUGUCGAACCUCUAGUCCCUCUAGAUGGUAGCGUAGGGCAAGGGGAAACCCCUGUCGAAGCUACGCCGGUUGAGGAGGAAGUUAAUGAUGAUGAUCGUGAAACUUCGGAUCAAGUUCCUAUCGAACCUCGCAGGUCGACAAGAUCACGUACUACUCCUGAGUGGUACGGUAAUCCUGUCUUAUCAAUCAUGUUGUUAGACAACAAUGAACCUGCGAAUUACGAAGAAGCAAUGGUGGGCCCGGAUUCCAACAAAUGGUUGGAGGCCAGGAAGUCCGAGAUAGAAUCUAUGUAUGAAAACAAAGUGUGGACUUUGGAAGUAUUACCUGAAGGCCGCAAGGCUAUUCAGAAUAAAUGGAUCUUUAAGAAGAAGACGGACGCAGACAGUAAUGGGACCGUUUAUAAAGCUCGACUUGUGGUAAAGGGUUUUUCACAUGUUCAAGGAGUUGACUACGAUCAGACAUUCUCACCGGUAAUGAUGCUUAAUCCGUCCGAAUCAUGUUAGCAAUAGCUGCAUUUUUCGAUUAUGAAAUCUGGCAGAUGGAUUUCAAAACGGCGUUCCUUAACGGUUUUCUUAAGGAAGAGUUGUAUAUGAUGCAACCUGAAGGUUUUGUCGAUCCGAAGAAUGCUAACAAAGUAUGCAAGCUCCAGCGAUCCAUUUAUGGACUGGUGCAAGCAUCUAAGAGUUGGAAUAAGCGCUUUGAUGAGGUGGUCAAAGCAUUUGGGUUUAUACAAGUGGUUGGAGAAUCUUGUAUUUACAAGAAAGUGAGUGGGAGCUCUGUAGCGUUUCUAAUAUUAUAUGUGGAUGACAUAUUGCUGAUUGGAAACAACUUGGAGUUUUUUGGAGAGCGUAAAGAAUUACUUCAACAAAAGUUUCUCUAUGAAGGACCUAGGAGAAGCUGCUUACAUUCUAGGCAUUAAGAUCUAUAAGUAUAGAUCUAGACGCGUGAUAGGACUUUCACAAAGCACAUACCUUGAUAAUGUUUUGAAGAAGUUCAAAAUGGAACAGUCCAAGAAAGGGUUCUUGCGAGUGUUACAAGGUAUAAAAUUGAGUAAGACUCGGUGUCCAGCAACUGCAGAAGAUAGAGAACAAAUGAGUUAUGUCCCCUAUGCUUCAGCCAUAGGUUCUAUCAUGUAUGCAAUGUUGUGCACUAGACCAGAAGUUAGCUUGGCCAUAAGUAUGGCAGACAGGUUCCAAAGUAAUCCAGGGGUGGAUCACUGGAUAGCGGUCAAGAAUAUUCUGAAGUACGUGAAAAGGACUAAGAAAAAUUUUCUCGUAUAUGGAGGUGACACAGAGAUCGUCGUAAAGGGUUACGUCGACGCAAGCUUUGACACUGAUCUGGAUGACUCUAAGUCUCAAACCGGAUACAUAUUUAUUCGUAAUGAGGGUGCGGUAAGCUGGUGCAAUUCCAAGCAAAGCGUUGUAGCAGAUUAUACAUGUGAAGCGGAGUACAUGGCUGCCUCAGAGGCAGCUAAGGAGGGUGUUUGGAUGAAGCAGUUCAUGACGGAUCUUGGAGUUGCGCCGAGCGUGCUAAAUCCAAUAACUCUAUUCAGUGACAACAAUGGUGCCAUUGCUUUAGCAAAGGAACCAAGGUUUCACAAGAAGACCAGGCAUAUCAAACGAAGCUUCAACCUCAUCCAUGACUACGUCGAAGGAGAGGACAUAAAUAUUUGCAAAGUGCACACGGAUCUGAAUGUAGCAGAUCUACUGCCUAAACCUCUUCCACGGACAAAACAUGAUCAACACCAAAACUGUAUGGGUGUUAGAUUUAUUACAAUGUAAAUCGCAUGACGAUGUGAGGACUAGAUUAUUGACUCUAGUGCAAGUGGGAGAAUGUUGAAAAUAUGCCCCACAGGCAAUGAUAAAAUAGUAUCAUUAUAUUUCCUGUUUCAAGAUAAUCGUUUAUUAUCCAUGCUAUAAUUGUAUUGAAUGAAAACCUAGAUACAUGUGUGGAUACAUAGACAAAACAAUGUCGCUAGCAAGCCUCUAGUUGGCUAGCCAGUUGAUCAAGGAUAGUCAAGGUUUUCUGACUAUGUGCAAGUGUUGUCGGUGAAUACUCACAAGAUAUGCCAUAGGUAGGCUAAAGUCGGUGAGAACCGAAGGGACAAAGGUGGACGCUGGGAACGAGGUUGGUACACGCAUGGGACGCACGAUGUACCCAGGUUCAGGGCUCUCCGUAGAAAUAAUACCACUAAUGCUGCCGGAGUGCUUGAUGUGUAUGAACAGAGUACAAUGUUGCUCCUGGAGCUGUGUUGGGAGGAGGAAGAGGGGAGCAGCCGGCUCGUCUCUACCUCUCUCUCCGUGGUUGGUGAGCGUGUACACUACAAGGAAUAUGCUAGUACAUGACGCUAUUUUUUCGUCGCUACAUCGUCACGGUUUUUCAUUUACGACGAUCGCACGACGAAAAACCAAGCGUCGAAAACAGAGCGUCAGAAAUGAACAGCAACGACGUUUUGGUCAAAAUCGUCGUAACUUUACGACGAUUCGUGGAUUGUCGUAACCUUUACGACGAUCCUAAAUCAUCGCUGACAAUCAAACCCAGUCCUACGUGGCAGUCCUACGUGGCAAAAUUACGACGAAAUCAAAACGUCAUGGCUGAAAUCAGCCCAACCCAUUUCAAUUGAUCACAUGGGCUCGUUUUAUUUUUUUUGGGCUUUUCUUAUUGGGCUUCUUUUGGGCCUUAGCCCAUUUAUAGACACUUUUAGUUUUUCUUUUUCAAAUUUUUUAUUUCGGCCCUGGCCUUUUAGUGCCCAAAUACAUUUGGUCCAUUUUCAGUUUUGGCCUUUUUUUCAUUUUUGAAUUCAGCAACUUUUUUUCCAGAACUUGGUUUCAUUUUUAUUUAUUGGACCUUUAUAACCAAUUAUUUGUCCAAUAUUAAAUGCAGCACUAUUUCGUAUUCAAAUCAAGAAAACUUCAAGUCGAAUUAAAAUCAUCCAUCAUAUAACAUCACAUAAUACAUCUCCCAGGUUUACAUAACACAAUAACUCAUCUCAUGAAUACAUUUCCUUACACAUGAAAAUAGCAAGAACGGACAGAAUUGUACAAUAGAACAAUGGCACAUCUGCUACUAUCACAACAGUACAAUGGACUUCAUUCCACUCUCCUAUGAGACAUGCUCGAGAUGCGACAACUUGUCAUCCUACAAGAACAUUACACUGCACAUGAAUAAAUCAAAAGGAAAUAAAUAUAAAAAAUAUAAGAAAUAAAAAAAGAUUUGUGUUCAUCCUGAAGAUGAUGUUAAAAGAAAUGCAAAUGAAAGACGGAGUAAAUCACAUUAAUAUUUUGACACUACGCACAACAAGUAUUUAGGAACAGAGGGAGUAAAUCAUUAUAAAGCAUAGCAUUGCAUGAAAAACAGAAGCAGAAAUUGUUGUUGACCGAUUAGGCACAGAAGUAAUCAUACUUUAGGAUUAAAAAGUGUGUGAAGAUGACAAGCAACAGUCUUCUUACAAAUAUAGUGACAUUUAUGUUACAUUGUUCUCUCAUGAAGAUGAUUUCUUAAGAACUAUAACAUGUGCAACUAAGCAUAUCAAGCAUGAGUACUUGACUGUAAACUGUCGUCAUAACCACAUACCAGAGCAGCAAAGCAGAAUAUCAAUGGAAAGGCGCAAGCAAACAUCAUGAUCAUCCCAAACUGAAGAGCUAGUUCAAGAAAAUCUGCAACAGAUUCAACACCAUAAGAACAAAUGGCAUUGUCUUUGAAGAAUACAAAAUGCCAUUUUUAGAUCAGCAAAAGUGACACAGACUACAUAUAAACCAAAUAAUAUGCAAACUACCAUAGCAACUGAGUACGGCAACUACUUAUUGUUAUUACCAUCAAACAGACCAUCUUCGAGCUCUGCUCCAAUGCUUGCAGUAUAAGAGAGUUUUUAAAUAUUCUUUCUCCACUCUUGUUGAUAAUCGAACUGACUUCCCUGAUGGUGAUUCUCUCUCUUGUCUUUUCUUGCUACAAAAUGAUAGGGGUUUCUUACAUUCUUCUAUUGGCCUGGAAAUAAGAAUAGCAGGAGUGCAGGACAAAGAAUACACAGGCAAAACUUACCGAACAACUUUGUACUUUUUGUAGGAGGUAAUAGCACCAGGGAUACUACAACUUGCAUACAAUGUGAUGGUUGAAUCCUACAACUUGAAAAAUGACCCUACCCAGUCACAGAACUUGCAUCCAAUGUGCAAACCCAGUCCAAAGUUACCACCGGCCAAUAGCAGCGUGCCAACUGGACAGGGCGGGCCAGCUCAUGGCACUUUUCACCUAGCCCCCUCCAGUUCAUGAGAAUUAUCUAGCCCAUAAACAUAUGCAUUCAUGUCAAAUAGACUAGCAAAUCGAUUAACACUCCGGUGAACAAGAUCAAAAUCAAGAUAGAUACUAAUUCAGGUCGUUCCACGGCCGCAUAGGUCUUCAACAUACACCUUGAUGGAUCUUUUCUGUCAGCAGCCUGUGUAAAACAAUUGGCAAUUAUCAAAACAAGGCCAAAAAUAGGUCCUCCUCUCUUCAUGUAUGAAUAUAUGGUCAAUUAGUUCUUGAUGUUCUACAUUGGAGUAUACUACUCGUUAGRCWAAAVUUAACAGAAUAGGAAAAUGAAUAUUUUUGAAUUAUUUUUGAACUAUGGAAGGGAGGGUUUUCACAUAUUUGAGGAAUAUAUAGUCCAAAGUAUUUAUGAUAAUUUUUUCGAGAAUUUUCAGAAUGAUAGAAUAGUAGGUUGCUUCACAAACUAGGAUCAGGUGGGAUAGAAUGGACCCACGAGUGACAUGUCAACAUAGUUAGAACAUGUUACGACAUUUUUACAAUCGUCGUAAAAGUUAUGACGAUCUCAUCUUAUGCGGUUAUGAUGUUUUGACUCACAUCGUCGUAAUUUAUAUGUAGAUUUGAUCCCCUCAAACGGUUUACGACGAUCUCGGAUGAAAUUGUCAUAGAUUUAUGACGAAUUCAUCAACGACAUUUUAAAAAACAUCGCAUAUGAGCAUAUUUCUUGUAGUGGUAGUGUUGUAUGACUGGUGAAUGAUCGGUCCCCCUUGCAUGGAGGGCGACCGGGGGGUUUUAUAGACGAACCCGCCGGCCUACAAUAUGGAUAAAGGGUACAAGUGUGGGACCCGGCCGGCGGCCUCGCCGGCUGGUCGGGGGCCCACAAGAGUCUUGUCUUGUCGCUUGAGGGGCCCGCCGGCUGCAUGGUCUCAAUUAUGCGUGGGACCCGCCGGCUGGCCAAUGAGGCUCUCGCGUAAGGUUGACGCCGAGCACGCCGCGUCGGAGGUGAAGAGCACCGUGUGCGACAGCACGUUCUUGUAGUACUGCCUGUCCAGGUCAUUCGGGGUCACCACGUCCUGCAUCACUGUGGGGUCAUUGCCGCCCGGGGCCGCAUCAGCGGGGCAUUGGUCACGCAGGAACGCGGCGAGGCCGCCGUUGAUGUCGGAGGGGGCGUUGAGGCGGUCAGGCACAAAGGAGGAGCAGUGGGAGCGACCGAUGGUGUGCGCUCCGGACAGGAUGACCAGGUCCUCCGCGUCCAGGCCCUUGACGACGAAGCUAUCGACGAGGUCGCUGAGGUUGGACGUGGGCGGGGCGAGAAACUUGAGGGGCUCGGAGGCGUUGGAGAAGGUGCCGUCACGGCGGCCCGAUGGCACCUCGAAGUGUACCUUGCCGGCGCUGAGGAUGCAGGACGCAUCGCGGGCCGCGAAGCGAUGAUGUCCGCGCAGGACACGGUGCCCGGACAGGCCACCUCAAGGGCUUCUUUAAUGGCGUCGAUCAGCUCAAAGCCGCGCAGCGACGGGUUGUUUGGCGGGCUGAGCUUCUCCGGCGUCGGGCUGAACGGGGUAGGAUCCAGGAGAACCGAAGCGUCACAGCCCUAAUAAGGUGAUCACCGACGACAGACUCGACAAAAUCAAUCAUCUAUAUAUCAAAGUACGUAUAACAUACAUGUUUGCAUUGCAAUUUAUUUCUUGCAAUGUACCUCGACGAAACAGUCGUGGAAGAGCAUUCGGAUCAUGGCGGCGCCAUUGCCGGGGUUCUGGGAGAUGGCCUCCAUCAUGACGCCCUUGACGACGGCCUCCGCCUGGGGGCACCUGUCGUGGUAGAACCCGAUCUGCAGAGGGCUGGCCCGGCACCCCACAGCGAGCAGCAGCAGCAAGGCACACGCCACCAGAACCUGCAGCUUCUUAACAGCAGCAGCCGCCAUUGUUUCAAGAUAGCUCGACUUCUUGACUAAGAUUGAAAGAUGGGAAGUGGGAGGUGAUGGAUCGAUGGGUUGGGGAAUGCCUGUUAGCUGCUGUAUAUAGUUUCAGCAUGAUGCUGCUUAUAUAGGUGAACAUUCGAACUUUCGAAACGUAUGUUGUGACGUAUGUUGCUUAUUUACGUAUGUUGUGCCAUGCAUGUGCUUCGUUGGAACGUUACUACGUACACCGGCCGGUAGUUGCCAUCAGCACUCGUCGACGUCCAGUUCGCAGUGGCACCGGGAAUUAAUCAGAGGCCGGUGGUAAUGAAUGGUUUGAUACAUAAAUAGCCCUGAUGGCCAGUUCCCUAACCUUGACAUUUUUAGAAGAUGAGCUCACUAGCCCUGAUGGUUACAUGCGGUUGACUUGACUCUUACGUAUGAAUUGGCCAUGUAUAAGCUGGAGUGGAGCUAGCUAUUUUAUAGCAGUAUAGUUGCUAGAUCAAGCAACUGGUUGAUGUGCUCACCAGUGGCAGAUGGGGACGUAUGUUUUUCUGGCUGUUGAGAGGUCAGGUUAGGUAAUAUAAGAACAUUUCCUUUGUGACCUUUCUCUGUGUGUGCGCUUCGGUGUCUCAAAUCCUUUAGGGCCUGCUUGGUUCAUCGUUUUGAACCCCAAAACACUUGUAAAAUAUACUCCUGUGAAAAAAAUACGGAUGGGCCGAUUGGUACGUCGUUUUUGGGCCGUAACUUUUACACUUGUUUUCUGGUUUACAUCCGUAACACGCCGGUAUUCGACACAGACCGAUCCCCAUCGUUUUCCCCCACCGUCUCGCUCGAAACCCUAUCCAGCUCGCUGCGCCGCCGGUGGGCGCCGGCGCAGGUGUCCGCGAGGCCCGAGGACAGCGAGGGCGGCGAGGCCCGAGGACAGAGAGGCGGCGAGUCGGCGAGGCCUGACAACAGUUAGGCGGCGAGUCGGCGCGGCGCGACUACAGCGAGGCGGCGCGGCGCGACUACAGCGAGGCGGCGCGGCGCGACUACAUCAUCUCCUCCUCCUCAACGGCCUCCUCUGCCGACGGUAUGUUGUUGCUGGAGACUGGAGAUUUGUUCCUUUUGAUACUUGUUGCUGCCUAUGAUUUGUGAAAGCCAUGAUGCAAUUUAGUUAGAACUCAUAUGGCGUGCUUUUCUAUGAUGCAAUUUGGUUAGAAGUUCAGAGCAUGGUGUUUAACUAUCGAUUGUAGCACUGUUGCCCAGAGCAAGAAAUGCCCAGAGCACGAAAAGCUUUCUCCUCUUUAGUUGGUUUUUUAUGGAUGACAGUCGCGAAAUUCCCUUUGUGGAUGACAGUCGUGAAAUCCCCUUUGUGGAUGGAUUCAGUCCAAGUUCCACCAAAGAAUUAGUAGUAUAAAUUUAUUUACUUGGGCAUGUGAUUGAUUUGGUGCAGAUCACUCUUGUGGACCGACUCGCUGCUGCUGAUUGGUGUGUCUAACGUAUUGUUUGCUAAAAUGCUAAUUUGAUUAAAUUGUUGUACUAAUUGCUGCUUUAGCAGACAUAACAUGUUCAACUUUUGUUCGUAUGUUACUAGUUAUAUAUAGCUAUCUAGUUAUCUAACUUCUGUCCAUUUUUGCAUUUUGAUACAUCUACUAAAUAUAAGAUAUAUAAUUGCGGCACCUAUUGUUGCUACUAUUUAUUUUGUAAUCUCUUCUCGCUAGAUAAUGGAUACGAGUAACCAUGAUGAUGGAUAUGAGUCAUGUACUGAUUCUGAAGAAGAGGAGGAGGAGGAGAUGAUGUUUCUUGUCUUCCCAACAUUAUAUUGUAUAUCUUUUAGGAGAGAAAAAAUUACCAAUGAACACAUCCAUUCUUACGGGAGCUAAGUAUAUCCGAGAAAUAUUGGAUCGGCCACCCUCAACGGUGCCUUGAUAUUCUUAGGAUGGAAUCCCACAUCUUCCAAGCUCUAUGCGACCAUCUUAGAUCUAGAAAACUUCUACGAAAUUCAAAAUGAGUUAGCGUUGAAGAGCAACUAGGGAUGUUUAUGUACAUGCUUUCCAGGAAUGCGAGUUAUCGUACGCUGACUGAUAGAUUUCAGCACAGUCCGGAAAUGGUGCAUAGACAUAUCAAUGGAUGCUUCAACGCUAUGAGUUCAUUGGCGUUUGACUUUAUCAAGCAUGGUUCGCUAGAUACUCAUUGAAAAAUAUCAACAAAUCCCCAGUUUUGGCCUUUCUUUGAGGUACACGCCAUCCCUUGAUAUGUACUUUAGGAUUUAUAUCAUCCCUUAGUAUCACAUAUAGUGACCAUAACUUGUUUAAUGCAGAACUGCAUAGGGGCAAUAGAUGGGACUCAUGUUCCCAUGACCAUAGCAUCCAAUGAGGCUGCUCCAUACAGGAAUAGAAAGGGGACCCUCUCCCAAAAUGUGAUGGUCGCCUGUGACUUCGAUCUCAACUUUGUUUAUGUAUCAGCUGGUUGGGAGGGGUCUGCCUCAGAUGCUGGAGUACUGAAAUCUGCCAUUCAAUCUGGUUUUCAUGUACCUCCGGGCAAGUACUAUUUGGUUGACGGAGGUUACGCAAAUACGCCACAGUUUCUAGCUCCGUACCGUGGAGUCCGUUAUCAUCUACAAGAUUUUGGUAGAGGUGGUCCUCGUCCAAAGAAUCCGAAAGAACUUUUCAAUCUAAGGCAUGCCCGCCUACGGAACCAUAUAGAGCGCACGAUUGGUGUCUGGAAAAUGCGAUUCCCUAUUUUAAAAGUUGGCACACAUUACCCAAUUGACACUCAAGUCAAAAUUCCUAUGGCGGCAGCAGUAUUUCACAACAUAAUCCGGAGUCACAGAGGUGAUGAACAAUGGCUAGAUACACAAGAAAUGCAGAUUGAUCCUCUUUUAUUUGUCACUCUUCCUGAUGGAGAUGACAGACCUCGACAUGUGACUACACCCUCAAGCAAUCAAAGGGACCUUGGUAAUUCCAUGAGAGAUGAAAUUGCCAACAGGAUGUGGACGGACUAUCAAAGAAUUCUAAGAGAAAGAUCAUCACGGAGAUCUGUUGGCUAAUGAAUUUAGUUUUUAUUUCUAUCAAAGUAAUUUAUUGUAAUGAUGUGGAAUUUGAGAUAUAAUAUAACAUUGUAGUUAUGUUAUUAGGAUUUUGCAUUUUCAGAUUCUUACUUGAUGUGAUUUUGCAUUUUGAGAUUCUUAUAUUUCUUAAUGUUUGAGUUAUGUUGCUUGAUGUUGAUUUAUUGCUAAAGUUACAUUGUCAUAGGUUCAAUAUGACGCAAAAUAGGGCUAAGUGGACAGCAAGAUAUGAGAAAGGUCUUGUUGAGAUACUUACAGAGUACAAUCUAUCUCAUUAUCGUGGCCAAAAUGGGUGGACUACUGAAGGAUGGAAUCAAGUUGUUAAAGAAUUGAACAAUUUAUAUCCAGAGGCAAGAUUUACCAAGGAUCAGGUCCAGGAUAAGGAAGCUCAACUGAAGAAGCACUACAAAAAUAUCAAGUCCAUAGUCAACCGUUCUGGAAUAUCGUGGAAUGAUGUUGCAUGUGUGAUUAACACAACACCUGAAAAAUGGGAGGAGAUCAUUGCGGUAAGUUUUUAUUCCUUGUAGUGCAUGUACUUUCCUUUGCCUAUGCAUGAUUUGCUCAACCUUUCUAUUGAUUAUAUAGGAGGAUUCAAAGCUCAAAAUGUAUGAAGGAAAAAGUUUCCCCUUGUAUGAGGCAUUGGGUGUGCUCUAUGAAGGGCACAUUGCUCAAGGAAGGCAUUGUCUCACAUCAAGGAAGCCUCCGACUAUCACAAAAUCAGGUAGCAACUUUGGAGCAAAGGAGAAGAUGGUUGCCAGCACCAGCAAGAGAAAUACAAGAGAUCGAAGCGAUGACAACAUGAGGACUCCUUCGAUAAUUCACAUCAAUGAUAUUCCUGCAUGGGAUGAUGUUGAUGGAGAUGCUGAAAGAGAAAACACUGUCCGUGACGAGGAAGAUUUUGGCAGUGAUGCUGAUGGAGACCAUCCACAAAUAAGUGAAUCAAGUGCCAAAGGAAGGAAACCCAAAAAACGGAGAAGUGCCACAUCUGUACAACGCCUUGAAGAUUCAAUGAUGGCGUAUGUGAAUUUCAAGAAAGAGCAAGCUACUAAGAAGGAGAGAGUGUCACAACAAGGGAAACAACCCUCAAUUACAGAAUGCAUGGAAAUCUUGAAUGAUAUGGAAGAUGUGCCCGACGAGGUGAAAAUCUUUGCCUCUGAUGUUUUCAAAGAUGCAGCAAACCGUGAGAUUUUCCUGGGUUACAACUCAAGACUACGGGGUAUGUGGUUAAAGAAGGAAGUCGACAAGAUCAGUCAUCAGCCUCCUCCUUGUAAGUCCCAUAAAACUUGGUUUUCUGCAUUUAUUCUCCCCAUUAAAGAUAAGUUUCCAAGGCUUAUUUGAGCGAGUAUUCCUUUGCAGCUCGGUUUUCACCUGGCGAUAUUCCUUCAAUUAAUCGGGUGCUUUGAUCAUAGGUAUUGUCCUUGCUCCCUCUCCUCUCAAAGAUGCUCAUGCCUAUACUAAUGAACCGGUUGGACGAGAGCGCGAGCAUGAUCUUUAAUCAGUACUACGUCACAUUCUGAAAGAACCUUGUGAAGUUCAGGUUGCUAGUAGUUCAGCCAUUUCUGUUAUCUAAUUUCCGAAGUUUACUGCAUCGGCAUGAGCAGGUUAACUUGGUUGUUAAUGUACUUCACAUGACUGUGAGGUAGACAAAUGUUCAUUUACCCUACCAUGUGUUAAGUAACGGACCUUCAGUUUCCUAUUUCAAAUUAGAUCAAUAUAUUGUUAACGAACUUUGUUGUUUCGAACCACUUUUUCUUCCUAGAACCGAAUUUGUUUUGCAUAUAUGUCUAUCUGAAAUUAGUUUGUUUGAUUUUGUUGUCCUUCUCUUAAUGUUUUGCGGGUAUUUUUUAUAUCCUAGACUCGGCAGCUAGCUCAAAACUGUGCAAAAGUUGGCCACUGGCCUGUACUACUAGACAAUCUGUGCUAUGCGUACAAGUAUCUUUUGUAGGGUUGUGAAACAUAUAAGCACUGAAUUUUGUUUCUUACUGUCAAGAAUUUAAGAUGGCAAUUUGUGUGGUGGACUGCAUGCCAGCACUUCAUGUUCCGUUUAUCUACAGGCAUUUUCCGUUUAAUUGUUUUAUUGUUGCAGUGGCACUUUCAUUGUCAAGCUAUAUUUGCAUUGGUUCUGUGUAUACUGAACUUGAAUGGCAUGUGCAAAGUCGAGAUCGUCAUGGCCUUUGAGGAAGAGUUCAGCUUCGAAAUCCCCGACAAUGAGGCAGAGAAGAUCGAUUCCAUCAAAUCAGCAGUUGACUUCAUCGCAUCGCAUCCUCAAGCAAAGUAAGAUUUGCUUGCAGGAGUUUCUUGGUUCCUCCUUUGACUUACGCAUUGUCUCGAGGAUGAAUGCAACCGAAAAAAGACCUGUUUUUCUGUAUUUGCCCAGUUGGUGAGAAUGGUCUUAGUUUGCUCCGUUGAUUUUUGGCAAGUCCUUGUUUUCUCCCCCCAUCUACUGCAAUAAAUAAUGAUACACCAUUUGGCUGUGGAUCUGUGAUUUUAUUUGCUGGAGGUAACAGCACGACAGAGUUGUGAUGCUGGAUGUGCGCGUGUGCCAUGGCUCAUGCUAAUUUGUGGGGAAUGGGAACUCAAAUUUAUGGAAGUACAGUCAGUACGAAUGAUCUGAAUUUGCAAUGUUACCACUGUACCUAAAAGUUUGUGCUUUUGAAAAUUUAGGCUAUGGCAGCCAGGUUACAAGGGUGGUAGAAAAACAACAAUCCAAACAGAAGCUGGGGAAGCGGAAUGGAAAUACAAUCCUGACAUAUAUUCUGAUUGUAGGCUAGUAUAAUACAAGUGUAAAAUAUUACAAGUGUAGCAAAAAAAACAACGUUCCAAACGCAGUCUUAGCGUUUCUACUUGAGUAAAAGGAACUAGCGCCCUGAAAACUUGUGUUGCGUCUCCACUUAAGUCGCACUACCACUAGUAAAAAAGAAGGCUUUGGUUCACUUGAUGAAAUUCCAUUAGUCCCGAUUCACUCACAAACCGGGAUCUAUGGGGGCAUCGGCCCCGGUUCAUGAGGCAAGGGCGCCGGCCAGGCCUCGUGUGCCAUUGGUCCCGGUUCGUAUGACCCAUUUGGUCCCGGUUCCAGAGAUGAACCGGGACCAGUCUGCCUCGCUCCUGGCUCACAACCAUUAGUCCCGGUUUGUGGCUGGAACCGGGAACAAAUGUUGAACUUUAGUCUCGGUUCCAGCCCCAAACCGGGACCAAUGGUUGGCCUAUAUAUACUUCCUUCCCGUGAGCAGAGCAGUGCACUGCUCUGUUUUUUUGCCCGGUCGUGGGAGAGCUUUCUGGUGCUCUAGCUCACCUCCUAUGCACAUGAGGUGUUCGAUGAAAUGUCCGAGCCACACUUAAGCUUUCUCCUCUCGAAUCUCCUUGUCGAAACUCCAUUUUCCUCAAGUUUUGUGUAGCUUCCGCGGUCAGUCCUGUCCCGUCCCCGUCCUCACCGCCGUCGAUCACCCGCGCCCAUCUAGGCACCGGCACCACCGUGGUUAGUCUCUUCUUCUUAUCUUUUUUCUAAAAGAAAAAAGUUCUUACUUUUAUGAUUUAGAUAGAUAUUUAUGUAAUUUUCUUACUUUUAUUAUUGUUUGUUACUAUAUAGUGUGAUGGUUUUGGUGUCCGCCUCCAUCGGUCCUCGUCCUGUCUAUGAUUCAGAUGUGGUAUAUAUUAUCUUUUAUAACUAUUUGUUUUAUUUAGUGUUUAUGACAAUUAUGCCGACCAACGUGACAUAGAUUUUUUUUUAAUCUACGAGGUAUGUGAACGGGAAAUUUGAACUGGCAUAGAAAUUCUUGCCAAGAAAUUGAAUUUGUUGAAAAAAGAAAAAAAAUAACUCGAAAGAAAAAUUACAAAGAGUUGAGGAGGAGAAGAUGAUAUUGGAGUUGGAUGUUGCCGAUGGACGUGACGAUCACAAGAUGAAGAUGGAUGCAAUGCGCUUGAAGACUAGAAAGAAUAGAAAAUAUGACAUUCAUACUGAGGCUUGGUAUCAUUAUUUGGAUCAAUUGGUACCUUAGUUGUGGUUAUGAUCGCAUUUGUUGUUGCAUUUAAAUUUUAUAGUUUUAAUGUAUGUUCUAAUUAGAUGCUCUAGAGAACUAUAUGUUGUUCAAUAAUGAGAACUAUGUAUGAACGUUAUGUAUUUAUUUUGGUCACUACUAUAUUUUUGGCUUUAAUGUGAUGAUGAAUUUCUAUUAAUUUGGUCACUUUUCUAUUCAUGAUAUGUUGUAAUGGUUUUUAAUACACUUUAUUAUAUAACACACAAAGAUGAACCGACAAUGGAUGUACGACGCACCUCCGAGUAUAUUAAGGGCGUGCAAAAUUUUCUCGAAGCGGCUAAGGCAAACAAGCAGAAUGAUUUUAUGCAUUGUCCAUGUACUGUUUGUGGGAAUACGAAGUCUUUCUCCGACUAUAAAACCCUUCACUUCCACCUGCUUCAAUAGGGUUUUAUGCCACACUAUAAUGUUUCGACCAAGCACGGAGAAAUAGGGGUUAUGAUGGAAGACAAUGUAAAAGAAGAGGAUGAUGACAACUACCCGCCCCCUGAAUACGGUGAUGCUGCAAUGGGGGAAGCUGACGAUCAAGAGGAACCAGACGAUGUGCCCGAUGAUGUUCUUCGUCGCGUCAUUGUUGAUACACAUAGAGAAUGCGAAAGUGAAAGGGACAUGUUGAAGUUCGAUCGCAUGUUAGAGGAUCACAAAAAAGGGUUGUACCCAAAUUGCGAUGAUGACAACACAAAGCUUGAUACCACACUGUAAUUAUUGCAAUGGAAGGCAGACAAUGGUGUAUCUAACAAGAGAUUUAGUUCGCUACUGAAAUAAUGAAGAAGAAGCUUCCAAAGGAUAACGAAUUGUCCGGCAGUACGUACGAAGCAAAGAAAAUUCUAUGCCCUCUAGGAUUGGAGGUGCAGAAGAUACAUGCAUGCCCUAAUGAUUGCAUCCUCUACCGCGGUGUGUACGAGGAUUUGAACGGAUGCCCGGUAUGCGGCGCAUUACGGUAUAAGAUCAGAAGAGAUGAUCGUGGUGAUGUUGAGGGACAGCGCACCGGGAAGAUGGUUCCUGCCAAGGCGCUCUGAAAACUUGUGUGUGCAUGUGCACUUAACUCGGCACUACACGCAAACCGAAAAAACCCAUCAUAAAACUUGUGUUGCGGGUGCAUAUAAGUCACACUGGCCAUUUGGACCGGUCUGCCGCCUGGUUCGGAGGUCACGUGUGGGGGUAGUUUUUUUUUUUUUGCACAAAAGACACUCUUUUCUUUGCUAAUCAAAUGGUGACGUCCCUGCCUACUUUGACUGCCGUUUCUCUUUGUUUGCCGAUGGGUGACGUGAGGAGUGGUGUUGCAGGUGUGUCGAGCUCGUCGGCGGCAAGUGUACCGGCGAAGAUGACUGAGAUGUAGCCAAAGUUGAGGACAAAAGAGGAUGGACGCCCGACCAACGGUUAGCCCUCUGUCUUCACCCCUCCCCCUAAUAGCUAGGGUUAUCCGCUUACGCUGUCAGAUUAUAGGUAGAUUAGGUCUACCUGAGAAACGAGCAGGAGCACUCUCUUUUCAUAUAAAAAGCAGUAAUAGUAAUAAGUAUGGACGCACAUUCUUUCACUUAAGCACAUUACACAGUUCUACAAAAUUUUACUUUGAUGGCUCCGUAUAUCUAGGAACACUUGAAUAUUAUAUGGUCCAAGAACCCGGAGCAGUCUAACUCCUCGAUUAAACGUAGGAACACUUGAAUAUUAUAUGGUCCAAGAACCCGGAGCAGUCUAACUCCUCGAUUAAACGUAAACACAUUACGACUUUUGGCAGUUUGUUGCAAAUACAUUCGGUUGACUUGACUUAUGUACGUAUGAAUUGGCCAUGUAUAAGCUGGAGUGGAGCUAGCAAUUUUGUAGUAGUAUAGUUCCUAGAUCAAGAAACUGAUUGAUGUGCUCACCACUGGCAGAUGGGGACGUAUAUUUUGCUGGCUGUUGAGAGGUCAGGUUAGGUAAUAUGAGAACAUUUCCUUUAUUUCCUUUGUGACCUUUGUGUGUGUGUGUGUUUCGGUGUCUCAAAUCUUUUAGCGUUUCUACACGAGUAAAAGGCGCACUGGCACUUUAAAAAGUUGUGUUGCGUAUGCACUUAAGUCGUACUAUACGCAGACCGGAAAAACCCUCAUAAAACUUUUGUUGUGGGUGCAUAUAGGUUACACUGGCCAUUUGGACCGGACUGUCGCCUGGUUCAGAGGUCACGCGAGGCACACAUGUCACGUGUGGGGGUAGUUUUUUUUUGCACAAAAGACACUCUUUUCUUUGCUAAUCACAUGGUGACGUCCCUACCUAUUUUACCGCCGUUUCCUUUGUUUGCCGAUGGGUGAGGCGACGAGCGGUGUUGCGGGUGUGUCGAGCUCGUCAGCGGCAAGUGUACUGGCGAAGAUGACUGAGAUGUAGCCAAAAUUAAGGACAUAAGAGGAUGGACGCCUGACCUACCGUUAGCCCUCUGUCUCCUUCCCUCCCCCUAAUAGCUUGGGUUAUCCGCUUACGCUGCCAGAUUAGGUAGAUUAGGUCUACGACGAUUGGCUCCCCCCCUAAUAGCUAGGUCUCCGAUAGAUUUGGUAGUGAAUUAGUUUUUCUUGUAGGAUUGUACCCAAUCUUAUGUUUCAUCUGCCGAUUGCUUGCUAGGGUUAGUGAAUUGAUCAUAAAUUUUGCAAUAUAGGUUCAGAUUUAGGAAAAUUCAGUAUAGAGAUGCAUCAUGGUGGCUUCUUCACAGGAAAAGGAAUUAAUUUGGCAUAUUUGGAUGAAAAAGUAUCCGUGUUUGAUAACCUUGUUAGGAACACUUUCUGCAAUGAUAUGAUUGACUAUAUGUUGUGGCAAUUGAAAUAUCCACCUGGUGAGUUAGAUAUGGUGUUCUGGUACCCACCAGGUAAAACACUAGGAGAAUGGGACCCAAUUAAUUUUUAAGGAGAGGUGUUUGUUUUGUUUGUGAAGCAUGUGAAACAAGUGAGAUUGAAAAAUUGGAAUAGGAGGAAGAUGACAUUGCUUAUAGGGUUGGCCCUGCAUUGCCUCCGAUAUCUCCGGCGAUGAGGAGUAGCUUGUCUUAUUAGCUCACUAUAAGGAUCUAUGUUCAGUUAGCUAGCUACCGGUUAAUCAUGUUCGGUUUACCCGUUGCAUGUGCUUCUCCUGUCUUUCCUUAACAAAUUGUAGUGAAUUAUCCUAUGUAUUUUUACCAUGCAAUCUGAUCCUAGUGUAUAUGUUAUAUAUGUCAUGAAAUGUGGUGCUCACUUAUUAACUGUUUGGUUAAUUUAUUGUCGUGUUCACUUAACGGUUUGGUUCAGUUAUGCAAUGUGAUGUUCAAUUCUUCUGGGUGCAAUUUUGUUUUGUCUUCUAUAUGUGAGAUAAACUGAAUUUGGUUGUACAAAUUACAUGAGAAACAGAUACAAUUGCUAUAUAUACAAGUUGUCAAGCAUGCUUCAUUUGGUUAACUGUCUCAUCUUCUAGUAUGUUAUACAUUGUACAAUGUUGUGGGUACAAUUUUAUAUUGUUAUGCAUCUGAGGAAUAAAUUAAAUUUGGUUGCACUUAAUACAUGAGAAACAUAUACAAUUGCUAUAUUUCUUAGUUGUUAAUCAUGUUUGGUUUGGAUAAAUGGCUUUUACAUGUGGCUCGAAUUAAUUUGCUAAAUCUGCAAUGUGUUCAUUUUUAAUCAACAUAUUUUGCUGAUAGCAUGUCAACCCUCACUUAACCUGAUCAAUAACUACCUUAUAUGUGUUGCAGGGAAACAAUUGAAAGCACUGAGGUUUACAAUCGAUGUUUGCACAUGCAUGAUCCUUUUGUCUAAUAGUAGCACAUUAUUGUGCAAUUGCAAAAGCCAUUCAAAUAUUUAGGUUUUUAACAAUUUGGUGUUGCACAUGUAGGCCCUCCUGUUAGAGGUUUUGACCCACUGUUCGACCCUUUUUGCAUAUAGGGAACGAGUUGUUCAUGAAUAUCAGUCAAGUCAAGAAAGUCAGAAAGAUUGUUAGGAUAAAGAAACUAGCAACAAAAAAUAACAAGGUCUUCAUCUGCAUAAUGAAGAAGACAUCAGUGCACUACACGACGGUACUAACUAUUAUACCUUGUCCUUUUUAUUCCUUUGCGCCAUUUCAAAUCCAAAGAAGAUAUUUAUGCAUAUCCUUGUUUUCAGACCUUUUCAAAGAAGUUCACUAAUGAUUACCUGUCAAAUCACCUGUAUGGUCAAGAGGCAAGGAAGGUAUUCAUACAAUACCCAGGGUACAAUCUUGAAGUCUUCCUGAAGAGGACAAAGGAUGGACGGUCAAUGAUCCACAGGCACUAGCCUAAAGUUGCAAAGACGUUCAACAUCAAUGAAGGCUCAAUAUUCGCCUUCCACUUCAACAAUUUUCCAAAUGAGAUUCAUGUGUGUAUCUACCAUCUAUGAUGCUAAUUUCCAAAAGUUAUAGAUGUUGCAUGUCAAACAUGGUGCUAGUGCAGUUGUGUAAUGGGGGUUUCUAGCUAUAUGCAUAUACGAUGUAAGUGAGUGCUGAAGCUACAUGAUGUUGUACUCUGAUGUAUUUCAAUUACGAAAUUCUGGUUCUGUAAUACGCUGAAAUAUAUUGUAUGCUUAAUAUGAAGUGUCAAUUUGAUUAAUAAAUGGAUUACUAUAAUAGGCCACUUAUUCUGGUGAUUGAGGUUUUCUAUUGCAAACGGUUAUUGAGAAAACAAUGUGGGCACUUGACUAACACAACACACACGGUUUUUAAGAUGAAAACGUGUUCGAUCAAUGAACAAUCACACAUGCCUUCCUCUUGAUAACUGUUUGCAUUAGGCCACCUUGCGCAAACACUUUCCAUAGAAAGAUUGUGUGUAAUGGACAGCCUAUGCCACAUUGGUCUCAAUGUUAUGUAUAUGUGUAUCAUCGCUAUCAAGGUUCAAUAUGAACAAUUCUCUCACAUUGGGUGUAUGACCAUAAAAUAUAUUACUCAUAGAAAUAGAACAACCAUUAUUAUCUGACUGAAACGAGUAACCGUCUCGCAAUAAACAAGAUCCAGAUAUAAUGUUCAUGCUUAACGCACACACUAAAUAAUAAUUAUUUAAGUUUAUAACUAAUCCUGAUGGUAACUGAAGUGAGACUGUGCCGACGGCGAUUGCAUCAACCUUGGAACCAUUUCCCACGCGCAUUGUCACUUAAUCUUUCGCCAGCCUUUGUUUAUUCCGCAGUUCCUGCUUCAAGUUGCAAAUAUAAGCAACAGAACCGGUAUUGAAUACCCAGGCACUACUACGAGAGUUGGUUAAGUACACAUCAAUAACAUGCAUAUCAAAUAUACCUUAUUUUUCCUUGGCCGCGUUCUUAUCAGCCAAAUACUUGGGGCAGUUGCGCUUCGAGUGACCCAGUCCCUUGCAAUAAUAACACCCUGUUUCAAGCUUAGGUCCAGCCUUGGGUUUCUUCGUCGGAUUGGCAACAGGCUUGCCGCUCUUCUUGGAGUUACCCUUCUUGCAUUUGUCGUUUCUCUUGAAACUAGUGGUCUUAUUGACCAUCAACACUUGAUGCUCUUUCCGGAGUUCUGACUCUGCGACUUUCAGCAUCGCGAAUAACUCGCUGGGUGAAUUGUUCAUCCCUUGCAUGUUAUAGUUUAACACAAAGCUCUUAUAGCUAGGUGGAAGUGAUUGAAGAAUUAUGUCAGUGAUAGCCUCUUGCGGGAGUUCAAUCCCCAGCUCAGCUAGACGGUUUGAGUAAAAGGACAUGUUGAGCACAUGUUCACUGACAGACGAAUUCUCCUCCAUCUUGCAAGCAUAGAAUUUAUCUGAGGUCUCAUACCUCUCGAUCCGGGCGUUCUUCUGAAAGAUAAUUAACUUCAACUCCUGGAACAUCUCAUAUGCUCCAUGACGCUCAAAGCGAUGUUGAAGUCCCGGCUCUAAGCCAUACAAGACUGCAUAUUUAACUACCGAGUAGUCUUCCUUACGUGUUAACCACGAGUUCAAAACAUCUUGGCUAGACGUAGCGGGUGGUUCAUCUCCUAGCGCAGCAUUAAGGACAUAAUCCUUGUUCGCAGCUUGCAGGAGCAUCUUAAGAUUACGAUCCCAGUCUACAAAAUUGCUUCCAUCAUCUUUCAAUUUAGCUUUCUCUAGGAACGUAUUAAAAUUCAGGGUGACUGUUGUGUGAGCCAUUGAUCUACACAACAAAUAUUGCAAAGUGGACUUAGACUACGUUUAAGAUAAUUAGAGUUUAACUAAUCAAAUUACUGAUAAACUCCCACUCAAAAAGUACAUCUCUCUAGUCAUUUGAGUGUUACGUGAUCCAAAUUCACCAACUCAAGUCCGAUCAUCACGUAAGUUGAGAAUAGUGUCAGUGGUAAGCAUCUCUAUGCUAAUCAUAACAACUAUACGAUUCAUGCUCGACCUGUCGCUCUCAUGUGUUCCGAGGCCAUGUUUGCACAUGCUAGGCUCGUCAAGUUUAACCCGAGUGUUCCGCGUGUGCAACUGUUUUGCACCCAUUGUAUGUGAACGUUGAGUCUAUCACACCCGAUCAUCACGUGGUGUCUUGAAACGACGAACUGUCGCAACGGUGCACAGUCGGGGAUAGCACAAUUUCAUCUUGAAAUUUUAGUGAGAGAUCACCUUAUAAUACUACCGUCGUUCUAAUCAAAAUAAGGUGCAUAAAAGGAUUAACAUCACAUGCAAUUCAUAAAUGACAUGACAUGGCCAUCAUCUUGUGCUUCUUGAUCUCCAUCACCAAAGCACCGGGCAUGAUCCUCUUGUCACCGGCGCCACACCAUGAUCUCCAUCAACGUGCCGCCAUCGAGGUUGUCGUGCUAUCUAUGUUGUUACUACUAAAGCUACAACAUAGCAAUAUAGUAAACGCAUCUGCAAACACAAACGUUAGUUUAAAGACAACCCUAUGACUCCUGCCGGUUGCCGUAGCAUCGACGUGCAAGUCGAUAUUAACUAUUACAACAUGAUCAUCUCAUACAUCCAAAAUAUCACAUCACGUCAUUGGCCAUAUCAUAUCACAAGCAUACCCUGCAAAAACAUUUUAGACGUCCCCUAAUUUGUUGUUGCAUGUUUUACGUGACUCCUAUGAGUAUCUAGUAUGAUCGCGUCUUACUUACGCAAAAACCACAAUGGAGAUGUUCAAAUUGCUAUUUAACCUCUCUCCAAGGACCGCAUCGGUCAAAACCAAUUCAACCAAAGUUGAAGAAACGGGCACCCGCCAGUCAUCUUUAUGCAACAAGUUGCAUCUUAGUCGAUGAAACCAAUCUCUCGUAAGCGUACGAGUAAUGUCGGUCCGGGCCGCUUCAAUCCAACAAUACGCCGAAUCGAGAAAAGACUAAGGAGGGCAGCAAAUCGAACAUCAACGUCCACAAAACCUUUUGUGUUCCACUCGAGAUAACAUCUACGCAUGAACCUAGCUCAUGAUACCACUAUUGGGGAAUGUUGCAUGGGAAACAAAAUUUUCCUACGCACACGAAGACCUAUCAUGGUGAUGUCCAUCUACGAGAGGAGAUUAGAUCUACGUACCCUUGUAGAUCGCUAAGCGGGAAGCGUUAAGAAAUGCGGUUGAUGUAGUAGUACAGCUUCGUGAUUCAAAUCACCGUCGUCCCACGAUCCGUUUCGAUCUAGCGCCAAACGGACGGCACCUCCGCGUUCAGCACACGUACAGCUCAAUGACGAUCUCGGCCUUCUUGAUCCAGCAAGAGAGACGAAGAAGUAGAUGAGUUCUCCGGCAGCACACAGCCAGCCCCCUCUGUCACCUAGUUGUCGCCUCGUUUGUUUGGGGCCCCUCCGUCAGGACUUUGCUGAGUUCCUUUACCUCUGGACUCGGCAUCCCAAGGACUUUCUCAUAUUUUGAAUGAUUGUCGAGUUGGUUUUCUUCGUCAGGUUUGUCGUGUUUCAUGCCAUUGCCCAGUUCACUUAGGCAUGUUCUUGGCAAACUGCUAACAUUGCCGUGCUCAUGAUAAAAUACACUCGGCAAACUCCAGGAAAUAUGCAUCUUCGUCAAUUACGGUAUACUACCUUUUUUUUUUUUUUGUAGUAACAGGUAUAUACCAACUGAUUCAGGGAAUCAUGGCAGAGGUUCAGAUGUCAUGUUCAAAACAUCCAAAAUCGCUAUUCAAAACAUGUUACAUGCAUAACUUAUUAAUUUUAUUAUCCCAAAUACAAAGAACAUUGUUUUCCGCAGCCCAUUUACACAUGUACAUUCCAUAUACACAAAUAAUUCCGUUGGCGCAAAUAGAACUAAGAAAUGACAAAUGAAAAGACAAGAAAUGUAGGUGCUAAAAAAAGAAAGUUCGCAUGCAGGAUGAAGCAAAACACUGGACGAUCCUUUGACAUGCAUGCACGUAGACGUACAUGCACGCACUUAAUUGGUACUAGUUGAUUGCGCGGCAGUUCUUCCUGAUCUGUCCCUGGUCACCGGUCUUGACCUCGAUGCCGGCCAUCUUCACCAUGGCCUUCUCGAACCUGUCCUCCCACCAUCCGGGGAUGUUGGCGUUGUCCACCACCAUCCUCGCCGUCUCCUCGGAGGUCAGGAGCGCCGCGUCGGAGGUGAAGAGCACCGUGUGCGACAGCACGUUCUUGUAGUACUGCCUGUCCAGGUCAUUCGGGGUCACCACGUCCUGCAUCACUGUGGGGUCAUUGCCGCCCGGGGCCGCAUCAGCGGGGCAUUGGUCACGCAGGAACGCGGCGAGGCCGCCGUUGAUGUCGGAGGGGGCGUUGAGGCGGUCAGGCACAAAGGAGGAGCAGUGGGAGCGACCGAUGGUGUGCGCUCCGGACAGGAUGACCAGGUCCUCCGCGUCCAGGCCCUUGACGACGAAGCUAUCGACGAGGUCGCUGAGGUUGGACGUGGGCGGGGCGAGAAACUUGAGGGGCUCGGAGGCGUUGGAGAAGGUGCCGUCACGGCGGCCCGAUGGCACCUCGAAGUGUACCUUGCCGGCGUUGAGGAUGCAGGACGCAUCGCGGGCCGCGAAGGCGAUGAUGUCCGCGCAGGACACGGUGCCCGGACAGGCCACCUCAAGGGCUUCUUUAAUGGCGUCGAUCAGCUCAAAGCCGCGCAGCGACGGGUUGUUUGGCGGGCUGAGCUUCUCCGGCGUCGGGCUGAACGGGGUAGGAUCCAGGAGAACCGAAGCGUCACAGCCCUAAUAAGGUGAUCACCGACGACAGACUCGACAAAAUCAAUCAUCUAUAUAUCAAAGUACGUAUAACAUACAUGUUUGCAUUGCAAUUUAUUUCUUGCAAUGUACCUCGACGAAACAGUCGUGGAAGAGCAUUCGGAUCAUGGCGGCGCCAUUGCCGGGGUUCUGGGAGAUGGCCUCCAUCAUGACGCCCUUGACGACGGCCUCCGCCUGGGGGCACCUGUCGUGGUAGAACCCGAUCUGCAGAGGGCUGGCCCGGCACCCCACAGCGAGCAGCAGCAGCAAGGCACACGCCACCAGAACCUGCAGCUUCUUAACAGCAGCAGCCGCCAUUGUUUCAAGAUAGCUCGAGUUCUUGACUAAGAUUGAAAGAUGGGAAGUGGGAGGUGAUGGAUCGAUGGGUUGGGGAAUGCCUGUUAGCUGCUGUAUAUAGUUUCAGCAUGAUGCUGCUUAUAUAGGUGAACAUUCGAACUUUAGAAACGUAUAUUGUCAACUAGAACUGGCCAUGCAUGUGUUUCGUUGGAACGUUACUACGUACACCGGCCGGUAGUUGCCAUCAGCACUCGUCGACGUUCAGUUGGCUGACUGUGCUCCUCACAACCAGUGGGCGCCGGCGAUGAUAUGAUGAUACACGAUGAGUAUAUAGUAAGGAGUAACAAACAUUAGUUCACUUACCCUGAUUUUGUAGAAAAUGAGCUUACUAACCCUGAUGUAUAUAUGUCUGAACAGGUCAUGUGUAAGCUGGACCUGGACUGAGGCUAGCCAUUUUCUAGUAAUAGUAGCUAGAUCAAGCAGCCGCUGAUUGACGGGGAUGCGUGUUUUUCCGGCCGUUGAGAAGUCAUCAAUCAAGUUAAUUAAGAACAUUUCUUUUGUGUCGGUGUGUACGUGUGCUUCGUGUUUCAAAUCCGUAGUGCGAGAAAUUUCCUGGGAGCUAGUAGCUAGGCCACCUUGUUUAACAGGUAGAGCAAGCGUGCAUCAUUAAGUACUAAUUCCUUGGUAGGAACAGCCUAACAGGUAGAAGAUGUGAUGGGUGUAAUCACACGGAAAUUAAUUUAUGUUAUGUUGUGUGGAUUGAAAACAUGACAUUUAAUCUCAGUGAUCAAUGCCAAAUUUUGCAGUUAACCCUUGAUUCAGUGUAAAAUUUUGCAAGAAUACAUAUGAAGUCAACAUAUUCAGUGCAUGCAGAAUACUCGAAUUAACAGUGUGGCCAAAUGUAGUGUAUAGCGUGAAGAGAAAAGAAAGUGAAUAUAUGUCUCAGAUUCAUAUAUAUAUGAAAAAAUAUACAUAUAUAUAGGACGGCCGUUUGAGGCACCUAGAUAUGUAUAUAUAUUAACAUUUAUUGUAUCCUUAUAUAGCAUUUAUUGAUUCCUACAAUAAAUUACUAGGUAUGUACCUCGCCGUGUAUGUACGUAACUUUAUUAGUACGCAUAUGUAUACAUGCACAUGUAUAUAAUUUCGUUAGUAGGUAUUUACAUAUCCGCUUAUGUAUAUUAUUUUUCACUAGCUACAAAUUAUAAUAAAUCAUUGGGUAUAUAUAUACCCGCAUAUGUAUAUUAUUUUAUUAGUAGGUAUAUCAUAUCCACGUAUGUACAUAAUUUCGUUACUAGGUAUACAUAUAUAUCCGCAUACAUAUGUAAUGUUUUGACUAGCUGCAAACCAAAAUAAAUCACUAAAAAUAUAUACCCAUGUAUGUACAUUAUUUCAUAGUUAGGUAUUAUAUACCAAUGGUAUGUCUCUACGAUUUGGAGUCAAUGCCCAAUUUGUUGGUUUUAAACAAUAAUUUUUUUUUCAUGAAUACCUAAUGAAAUAAUCAAGGGAAAAUCUAAUGAGCUUCGUACGCACACAUGCUCUCCCGUGCAGCGGCCGCGCGCAUGUGUUAUACUAGCUAUUUGUAUUUUAAAAAUGAUUUAUCUUUCAAACCGUUAUACCAAUUAAUGAUCCAUUUUCAUCACUGACUUUAUCGCGACGAGAUCUUUAAAACUAGAUCCCAUGUUAACAUGUUUCGAUAAUUUUUGUUUUCGUCGGUACUUGCCAGAUUAUUAUGACUUACUUGUCAUAUUAUUUGUUAUAUAGUUCUGACAUUAAAUUAACUUGGUUAUCACAUUCAUGAAUGAGUAAAAAACUUGAUUCAUUAUACUUGUGCUGAUUCAAGCAUUAGCUUUUUCGUUAAUAGUGCUUUAAUACCCACGUUUUAGCUUCACAGAACAUUGUAAUACUUAAAAAGUAUAAAAUUAUUGUCAUGAUAACUAUGUAUAAUUUUUGUGACAACUGUACAUCCGUAAGAUGACAACUAUGAUGACAUAAAUGUGGCAACUAGGAACGACGAAAAAAAAUCAACGAAACAUGUCAAUAUGGGAUCUUAUUUUAAAGGUUUUGUCGAGACGAACCUAACCGUGAAGGGGAAUCUCCAAUCAAAUCAUUAAUUUAUGAGAUAAAACAUUUUUAAGAUUGACAAUAAAUAUGCAUAAGAUGUUGACUAGGACUCCAAAACGUUUUGCAUGCAUGCGCUGUUAAAAUGCUUCUUUUCCUCAUUGAGAUGCAUGCAAGAGUACAAGUUUUUGCUAACCUAAGAGCCGUAUUUAUAUAAUUUUUUAAUCCAGAAACAUGUCCUUAAAUGCGAUUUGCGCCUUGAUCAGCCAGCCGCCGCACGGGAAGGCAGCCGUGCGGCGCCGCUCCGUAGCGAGCUCCAAUAAUCAAUGUCUAUCUAUACAUGUAUCCAUCUAUACAUAGAAGGUUCACUAACUGGCGAGUCACAUUGUGCGUACAUGCAUGUAUACCUUGAUCUAGAAAAAAAAUGCAUGUAAAUAUGUAUACCUAUUUCCUUUUAUUUUAUUAUUCUCUCUCCACGAAUUAAUGUGCGUUUUAAUUCCUUCCAAAUCAAUAAAUCUUAAUAAAUUGACAUGCAAACUAUUAAAUGCUAGGUGCCUGGGCACCGAGGUGCCCCAAACAAUUUACCUAUGCAUAAGAGCAUCUCUAACAGCCACGCGAUAUAAGCGCCGCGCUGAAAAAGUUAUGUUUUGCGCGCGCAGCCGCUUCGGCCGCUCCAGCGGAGGCAAAAAAACGCACACACGGCAUAAAUGGCUCAGCGCGCUGCUUAUUUCAUGUCUCCGUUCCCGCGCGCUGCACACUCGAGCGCUCGCGUCGCAUCCUCUCCGACCGUGACGCCUUCGUCCCGUCCGCGCCACCGCCGGCGAAUUCGCCCAAUGUACGGCCGCGCCAACAUCCCCUUCACCCCUUCCUACGCUCGCGCCCCGCCGCUGCCGGCGCAAACCCUAGCACGGGGAGCUCUGGCUUCGCCUCCGCCGAUGCUCCUCCAACCACCGGUCUCGCGCGCGACCUUUUCAUAGCGCCACGGACGACCUCGGCGGUGGGUAGCGUCGCGCCGACGGCCGCCAUGAAGCUACGUGCCCCCCUCUCGAAGCUCCCAAAUGCGGCGGUGGCGAAGAAGGGCAAGGUCACUAGUAGAAAACAGGGCAUUGAGCCAACCACAUUGGACCCGGAUUGGAUAUAAACCGGUUCUAAAGGGUCUGUCUGCUGGGCCCCCUCCUUGCAGCAAAUGGCCGCAAGGCCUUUAGGACCGGUUUGUAACACAAACCGGUCCUAAAGGUUUUUGGACCGUUUGCUGCAGGAGGGGGGCCCAGUGGACAGACCCUUUAGAACCGGUUUGUAUCACAAACCGGUGCUAAAGGUUUUCUCAUUUUUGCAGCAACUGCGGGGCCCCGCUGUCAGACCCUUUAGCACCGGUUUUUGACACAAACCGGUCCUAAAGCCCUCCUCUCCUUCCUCCCCGAGCACCCCUAUAUUCCACCCCAUUAUUUCUAGCUCCAUUUUUUCUAGCUCGAGCUCAACUCCAUUUUUGCUCUCUCCUUCCUCUUGGGAGCUCUAAUCCAUCCCCAUUUUUCUCCACCAUUUGUCAAGAUUGUUGGCACCCAUCGGUCCUACGAUUAGCAUCAACAUUCCCUCUUCCGGUAUUGCAAGUUUUGCUCGUUUUCUUGCUCAUUUCAUUUUUGUUGUGCAAGCUAGGUGUUUGAUGAAAUGCCUAAGCUAGAGAGAGUUCAUCAUUUGUUAUGUAUACAUAUGCAAUUUGAGCUCAAAUUUAAUUAUGAUUUGUGGUUUUUUUUAGUGUCGCGCGCCUUGUCCCCUCCUCACCGCCGUCGAUCGCCCCGUCACCGACACAACCUUGGUGAGCCUAUUGUUUUUAUUUACCAAAACAAAUUUUGAUUUGUAUGAUUUACAUAUUUACUUGUAUAUAAUUUUCUUAUUGUGUAAGAUUUUUUUAUAUAUAUAGCGCCAUGGUUUUGAUAUCCGUCCCCGUUGGCCCUCGUCCAGUCUAUGAUUCGGAUGUGGUAUAUUAUCUUUUAUAACUACAUAUUUUCAUUUCCUGAUUAUAUGACAAUUAAUUACGCCGACCAACUUGACAUAGAUAUUUUUAUCUAGGAGGUAGUGGAACCGGAAAUGCCAAUCGACCCUAUUGUUGAGAAGUUACACUUAGUUGAACAAGAUGUUGGCCUGAAAGAAAGAUUGAAAAAAACUGAAGAAAGGUUGGAAAAAACUGAAAGAGAGAAGAUGACCUUGGAAAAGGUUCUUGCCGGUGUCGUCGAUGGUCACAAGAGCGAGAUGGACGCAAUGCGUCUGAAGAUUAGAAAGAUUAGAAAAUAUGCAAUUAGUAAAGAGGCUUGGUAUCAUUAUGCCGUCGGGUCAAUUGUUACCUUUGUUGCGAUUUUGAUCGCAUUUGUUGUUGUUUUUAAAUGCAUUAAUUAGAGAGAGUUUUUUAUGGUUGGUUUCACUGUGUGUUUUUAUGAGAACUAUAUAUGUAUGGUCACUACGCUACUUUGGUUUUAACGUGUGAUGAACUUUUUGUAUUAAUUAAUUAAUUUAGUCAUGAUGAUUUAGCAUAAUGGUUUUUGAUAAAUUUAUAUAAUGCAGAUGAACCGGCAAUGGAUGUACAGUGAUCGACGUCGUCCCGAAUUUCUUAAUGGCAUGCAUAGUUUUCUCAAUGUGGCUGAGAAAAACAGGCAGAAUGGAUUUAUUUUUUGUCCAUGUAAAAAAUGCCAGAAUAAGAGGAAUUUCCCUAACUCAAGAACCAUACACACCCACCUGUUGCAAGAAGGCUUCAUGCCAAGUUAUUUUUGUUGGACCAAGCACGGAGAAAGAGGGGUUGUAAUGGAAGACAAUGAAGAAGAAGAGGAUAAUGAUAACUAUCCUAUGUUCGGUGAACACGGUGAUACUGAAAUGGGGGAAGACGAGCCUGAACUUGAGGACAUUGUUGAUGAGUCUGAUGAUGAUCUUCGUCAGGUCAUUCGUGAAGAACAGAUAAACUGCGGAAGUGAAAACGAGAGGUUGAAGUUGGAGCGCAUGUUAGAAGAUCACAAAAAAUUGUUGUACCCAAAUUGUGAAGAUGGCCAGAAAAAGCUGGGCACCACCCUGGAAUUGCUGCAAUGGAAGGCAGAGAAUGGAAUAUCUGACAAGGGAUUUGAAAAGCUGCUGAAAAUAAUGAAGAAGAUGCUUCCAAGAGAUAACGUGCUGCCCUGCAGUACGUACGAAGCAAAGAAGGUUGUCUGCCCUCUAGGAUUGGAAGUGCAUAAGAUACAUGCAUGCAUCAAUGACUGCAUCCUCUACCGCGGUCAGCACGAGAAUUUAAAUGCCUGCCCGGUAUGCGGUGCAUUUCGGUAUAAGAUCAGGCGAGAUGACCCUGGUGAUGUUGAGGGCGACGACCGCCCCAGCAAGAGGGUUCCUGCCAAGGUGAUGUGGCAUGCUCCUAUAAUACCACGGUUGAAACGUUUGUUCCGAAACAAAGAGCAUGCCAAGUUGCUGCGAUGGCGCAAAGAAGACCGGAGGGAAGACGAUAUGCUGAGACAACCCGCUGAUGGGUCGCAGUGGAGAAACAUCGACGAUAAGUACGAGGACUUUGCACGUGACCCAAUAAACUUAAGGUUUGGUCUAAGUACAGAUGGCCUGAAUCCGUUUGGGGAGCAGAGUAGCAGUCAUAGCACCUGGCCCGUGACUCUAUGUAUCUAUAACCUUCCUCCUUGGUUAUGCAUGAAGCGUAAGUUCAUUAUGAUGCCAGUGCUUAUCCCAGGCCCGUCGCAACCCGGCAACAACAUUGAUGUGUACCUGAGGCCACUGGUUGAUGAACUUUUAGAGUUAUGGGCUGACGAAGGUGUACGUGUGUGGGACGAGUACAAACAGGAGGAAUUUGACCUACGAGGGUUGUUGUUUGUAACCAUCAAUGAUUGGCCCGCUCUUAGUAACAUCUCAGGACAGUCAAACAAGGGAUACAGCGCAUGCACACACUGUUUAGGCGAGACUGAAAGUAUACAUAUAGGCAAGAAUGUGUACCCGGGGCAUCGUCGAUUUCUUCCAGACAGGCAUCCCGUAAGAAAGAAAGGAAAGCAUUUCAAAGGCGAGGCAGAUACACGGAGGAAGCCAACCCUCCCUAAAGGUACUGAUAUAUAUGACAUGGUCAAAGAUAUAAAAGUAAUCUUUGGUAAGGGUCCUGGCGCACAAUCUGUUCCGAAUGACGCCGACAACCACGUAGCCAUGUGGAAGAAGAAAUCUAUAUUCUGGGAACUACCCUAUUGGAAAUUCCUAGAGGUUCGCUCUGCGAUCGACAUGAUGCACGUGACGAAAACUAUUUGCGUGAACCUGCUAAACUUAUUGGGCGUGCAUGGGAAGAAGUCGAGAGAUACACCAAAAGCACGGCUGCACCACCAACGUAUGCACGAACGAGACGACCUGAUGAAUCGAGAGAAUUUCAAAGGUCCUGCCAGCUACGCUCUUACCAAGGAAGAGAAGGAGAUCUUUUUCCAAGUCCUGAGCAGUAUCAAGGUCCCGUCUGGCUACUCGUCGAACAUAAAAGGAAUACUAAACCUGGAAGAGAAAAAGUUCCAAAACCUAAAGUCUCAUGACUGCCACGUGAUCAUGACCCAGUUACUUCCGAUUGCAUUGAGGGGGCUUCUGCCAGAAAACGUGUGAGUACCCAUUGUGAAGCUAUGUGCAUUCCUCAACGCAAUUUCUCAGAAGGCAAUCGAUCCAGCAACUCUACCAAGUUUACAGAAGGACGUGAUCCAAUGUCUUGUCAGCUUCGAGUUGGUGUUCCCACCAACCUUCUUCAAUAUUAUGACGCACCUCAUAGUUCACCUAGUCCAAGAGAUUUCCGUUCUGGGUCCUGUAUUCUUACACAAUAUGUUCCCCUUUGAGAGGUUCACGGGAGUCUUGAAGAAUUAUGUUAAAAACCGUGCUAGGCCAGAAGGAAGCAUGGUCAAGGGCUAUGGAACAGAGGAGGUCAUUGAGUUUUGUGUUGACUUUAUUCCUGACCUGAACCCGAUCGGUGUUCCUCAGUCGCGCCAUGAGGGGAGACUGCGUGGAAAAGGCACGCUAGGAAAGAAAUCAACAACAUGUAUGGACGAGCAAUCUUUCACUCAAGCACACUACACAGUUCUAGUUAAUUCCAGCUUGGCGGCUCCAUAUAUCCAGGAACACAAGGAUAUUUUACGCUUGGAAUACCCGGAGCAACCUGAAGAUUUCAUUGCUAAAGAACACGCGAAGACUUUCGGCGGUUGGUUGCAAAGACGUCUCAUUAAUGACAACAUUGUUGAAGAUGAGCUAUACUUGUUGGCCAAGCAACCAUCUUCGACUGUAUUGACCUUUAAAGGGUACGAGAUAAAUGGUAACACAUUUUACACGGCAGACCAAGAUAAAAAGAGCACCAACCAAAACAGUGGCGUCCGGUUUGAUGCAAAAGACGACAAUGGGCAAAGGGUCACAUACUAUGGUUACAUAGAGCAGAUAUGGGAACUUGACUACGGACCUUCCUUUAAGGUCCCUUUGUUCUGGUGCAAAUGGUUCAACCUGUCAGGCGUGAAGGUAGACCCGAAGUACGGAAUGACAACAGUGGAUCAGAAGAAUCUUGGGUACGGCAAUGAUCAAUUCGUCCUAGCCAAUGAUGUGGCUCAGGUUUUCUAUGUGAAGGACAUGUCUAGCAGACCGAGAAAAAGAAAAGAUAAGCAAGCGAAUACAUCAGACGAUGAGCCAAGGCGCCACAUAGUUCUUUCAGGGAAAAGAAACAUCGUGGGACUCGAGGACAAGACAGACAUGUGAGAAGAUUACAAUAAAUUUGAUGAAAUUCCUCCCUUCAAAGUCAAAGAUGAUCCAAGCAUCCCGUUAAAUGAUGAAGAUAGUCCAUGGUUACAGCGCAAUCAGAAGAAAGACAAGAAGAAAAAUAGAUAAGGGGUGUUGUUGGUGAUGUGUAAUAAUGUAUUAAACCUUUUAUGUAAUUGUGUUGACCAUUUUGAUAAAUAUUAAAAAUUUGACCAAUUUCCACUAAAUUUGACCAUUUUGAUAAAUAUCAUUUUUAGUUUUAAGUGUAAAAUGACAUUUUGACAAUUUAUAAAUAAAUGUAAAAGAAAACAGAAAAGGGAACAAAAAAGAAAAUAAAAAGAAACAAGGAAAAAAGGAAAACAAAAAGAAAAAGAAAACAAGGAAACAAAAAAAGGRAAAAAGGAAAAAUAAAAAGAAAAGAAACNNNNNNNNNNNNNNNNNNNNNNNNNNNNNNNNNNNNNNNNNNNNNNNNNNNNNNNNNNNNNNNNNNNNNNNNNNNNNNNNNNNNNNNNNNNNNNNNNNNNCCACAAAUACCUAUGGGCUUCCCCGGAGUGGGUUGCCCCCCUCCAGUGAACCCCCGGAACCCAUUCGUCAUUCCCGGUACAUUCCCGGUAACUCCGAAAACCUUCCGGUAAUCAAAUGAGGUCAUCCUAUAUAUCAAUCUUCGUUUCCGGACCAUUCCGGAAACCCUCGUGACGUCCGUGAUCUCAUCCGGGACUCCGAACAACAUUCGGUAACCAACCAUAUAACUCAAAUACGCAUAAAACAACGUCGAACCUUAAGUGUGCAGACCCUGCGGGUUCGAGAACUAUGUAGACAUGACCCGAGAGACUCCUCGGUCAAUAUCCAAUAGCGGGACCUGGAUGCCCAUAUUGGAUCCUACAUAUUCUACGAAGAUCUUAUCGUUUGAACCUCAGUGCCAAGGAUUCGUAUAAUCCCGUAUAUCAUUCCCUUUGUCCUUCGGUAUGUUACUUGCCCGAGAUUCGAUCGUCAGUAUCCGCAUACCUAUUUCAAUCUCGUUUACCGGCAAGUCUCUUUACUCGUUCCGCAAUACAAGAUCCCGCAACUUACACUAAGUUACAUUGCUUGCAAGGCUUGUGUGUGAUGUUGUAUUACCGAGUGGGCCCCGAGAUACCUCUCCGUCACACGGAGUGACAAAUCCCAGUCUUGAUCCAUACUAACUGAACUAACACCUUCGGAGAUACCUGUAGAGCAUCUUUAUAGUCACCCAGUUACGUUGCGACGUUUGAUACACACAAAGCAUUCCUCCGGUGUCAGUGAGUUAUAUGAUCUCAUGGUCAUAGGAAUAAAUACUUGACACGCAGAAAAACAGUAGCAAUAAAAUGACACGAUCAACAUGCUACGUCUAUUAGUUUGGGUCUAGUCCAUCACGUGAUUCUCCCAAUGACGUGAUCCAGUUAUCAAGCAACAACACCUUGUUCAUAAUCAGAAGACACUGACUAUCAUCGAUCAACUAGCUAGCCAACUAGAGGCAUGCUAGGGACGGUGUUUCGUCUAUGUAUCCACACAUGUAAAUGAGUCUUCAUUCAAUACAAUUAUAGCAUGGAUAAUAAACUAUUAUCUUGAUACAGGAAUUAUAAUAAUAACUAUACAUUUAUUAUUGCCUCUAGGGCAUAAUUCCAACAGUCUCCCACUUGCACUAGAGUCAAUAAUCUAGCCCUCACAUCACCAUGUGAAUCACAUUGUAAUAAAUCUAACACCCAUACAGUUCUGGUGUCGAUCAUGUUUUGGCCGUGGAAGAGGUUUAGUCAGCGGGUCUGCUACAUUCAGAUCCGUGUGCACUUUGCAUAUAUUUACGUCCUCCUCCUCGACGUAGUCGCGGAUGAGGUUGAAGCGUCGUUUGAUGUGUCUGGUCUUCUUGUGAAACCUUGGUUCCUUUGCUAAGGCAAUGGCACCAGUGUUGUCACAGAACAAGGUUAUUGGAUCCAGUGCACUUGGCACCACUCCAAGAUCCGUCAUGAACUGCUUCAUCCAGACACCCUCCUUAGCCGCCUCCGAGGCAGCCAUGUACUCUGCUUCACAUGUAGAAUCUGCUACGACGCUUUGCUUGGAACUGCACCAGCUUACUGCACCCCCAUUAAGAAUAAAUAUGUAUCCGGUUUGCGACUUAGAGUCGUCCGGAUCUGUGUCAAAGCUUGCAUCGACGUAACCUUUUACGGCGAGCUCUUCGUCACCUCCAUACACGAGAAACAUCUCCUUAGUCCUUUUCAGGUACUUCAGGAUAUUCUUGACCGCCGUCCAGUGAUCCACUCCCGGAUUACUCUGGAACCUACCUGCCAUACUUAUGGCCAGGCUAACAUCCGGUCUAGUGCACAGCAUCGCAUACAUGAUAGAGCCUAUGGCUGAAGCAUAGGGGACGGAGCGCAUAUGCUCUCUAUCCUCAUCAGUUGCUGGGCACUGAGUCUUACUCAAUCUCGUACCUUGUAACACUGGCAAGAACCCUUUCUUGGACUGUUCCAUUUUGAACCUCUUCAAAACUUUAUCAAGGUAUGUGCUUUGUGAAAGUCCUAUCAGGCGUUUUGAUCUAUCCCUAUAGAUCUUAAUGCCUAGAAUGUAAGCAGCUUCUCCUAGGUCCUUCAUAGAGAAACUUUUAUUCAAGUAACCUUUUAUGCUCUCCAAAAGCUCUACGUUGUUUCCAAUCAGUAAUAUGUCAUCCACAUAUAAUAUUAGAAACGCCACAGAGCUCCCACUCACCUUUUUGUAAAUACAAGAUUCUCCAACCACUUGUAUAAACCCAAAUGCUUUGAUCACCUCAUCAAAGCGUUUGUUCCAACUCCGAGAUGCUUGCACCAGUCCAUAAAUGGAUCGCUGGAGCUUGCACACCUUGUCAGCAUUUUUAGGAUCGACAAAACCUUCGGGUUGCAUCAUAUACAACUCUUCCUUAAGUAACCGUUAAGGAACGCCGUUUUGACAUCCAUCUGCCAAAUUUCAUAAUCGAAAAAUGCAGCUAUUGCUAACAUGAUUCUGACGGACUUAAGCAUCGCUACGGGAGAGAAAGUCUCAUCGUAGUCAAUUCCUGGAACUUGUGAAAAACCCUUUGCCACAAGUCAAGCUUUAUAAACGGUCGCAUUACCGUCAGCGUCCGUCUUCUUCUUAAAGAUCCAUUUGUUCUGAAUAGCCUUGCGGCCCUCAGGCAGCAUCUCCAAAGUCCACACUUUGUUCUCAUACAUGGAUCCUAUCUCGGAUUUCAUGGCUUCUAGCCAUUUGUUGGAAUCUGGGCCCACCAUUGCUUCUUCAUAAUUUGCAGGUUCAUUGUUGUCUAACAACAUGAUUGAUAAGACGGGAUUACCGUACCACUCUGGAGCAGCACGUGAUCUCGUCGACCUGCGUGGUUCAACAGAAACUUGAAUUGGAGUUUCAUGAUCAUCAUCAUCAACUUCCUCCUCAACCGGCGUCGCAAUGACAGAGGUUUCCCCUUGCCCUGCGCCACCAUCCAGAGGGAUGAGAGGUUCGACAACCUCGUCAAGUUCUAUCUUCCUCCCACUCAAUUCUCUCGAGAGAAACUCCUUCUCGAGAAAAGUUCCGUUCUUAGCAACAAACACUUUGCCCUCGGAUUUGAGAUAGAAGGUGUACCCAACUGUCUCUUUUGGGUAACCUAUGAAGACGCACUUUUCCGCUUUGGGUUCCAGCUUUUCAGGCUGAAGCUUUUUGACAUAAGCAUCACAUCCCCAAACUUUAAGAAACGACAACUUUGGCCUUUUGCCAUACCACAGUUCAUAUGGUGUCGUCUCAACGGAUUUCGAUGGUGCCCUAUUUAAAGUGAAUGCAGCUGUUUCUAAUGCAUAACCCCAAAAUGAUAACGGCAAAUCAGUAAGAGACAUCAUAGAUCGCACCAUUUCUAACAAAGUACGAUUACGACGUUCGGACACACCAUUACGCUGUGGUGUUCCAGGCGGUGUUAACUGCGAAACAAUUCCACAUUGUUUUAAGUGAGUACCAAACUCGAAACUCAGAUAUUCACCCCCACGAUCAGACCGUAGGAACUUGAUCUUCUUGUUACGAUGAUUUUCCACUUCACUCUGAAAUUGCUUGAACUUUUCAAAUGUUUCAGACUUGUGCUUCAUCAAGUAGACAUAACCAUAUCUACUUAAAUCGUCAGUGAAGGUGAGAAAGUAACCAUAUCCGCCACGUGCCUCCACGCUCAUUGGACCACACACAUCGGUAUGUAUGAUUUCCAACAAGUCACUUGCACGCUCCAUUGUUCCGGAGAACGGAGUCUUAGUCAUCUUGCCCAUGAGGCAUGGUUCGCACGUGUCAAGUGAAUCAAAGUCAAGUGACUCCAAAAGUCCAUCAGCAUGGAGUUUCUUCAUGCGCUUUACACCAAUAUAACCCAAGCGGCAGUGCCAUAAAAAUAUGGCGCUAUCAUUGUUUACUCUAACUCUUUUGGUCUCAAUGUUAUGUAUAUGCGUAUCUCUAUCAAGAUUCAAUAUGAACAAUCCUCUCACAUUCGGUGCAUGACCAUAAAAGAUGUUACUCAUAGAAAUAGAACAACCAUUAUUCUCAAACUUAAAAGAGUAACCGUCUCGCAAUAAACAAGAUCCAGAUAUAAUGUUCAUGCUCAACGCAGGCACUAAAUAACAAUGAUUUAAGUUCAUCACUAAUCCCGAUGGUAGUUGAAGUGACACUGUGCCGACGGCGAUUGCAUCAACCUUGGAACCGUUUCCUACGCGCAUCGUCACUUCGUCUUUCGCCAGCCUUCGUCUAUUCCGCAGUUCCUGCUUCGAGUUGCAAAUGUGAGCAACAGAACCGGUAUCGAAUACCCAGGCACUACUACGAGAGCUGGUUAAGUACACAUCAAUAACAUGUAUAUCAAAUAUACCUGAUUUUUCUUUGCCCGCCUUCUUAUCUGCCAGAUACUUGGGGCAAUUGCGCUUCCAGUGACCCAUACCCUUGCAAUAGAAGCACUCUGUUUCAGGCUUAGGUCCAGCCUUGGGUUUCUUCGGCGGAUUGGCAACAGGCUUGCCGCUCUUCUUCGAAUUGCCCUUCUUGCCUUUGCCGUUUCUCUUGAAACUAGUGGUCUUGCUCACCAUCAACACUUGAUGCUCUUUACGGAGUUCAGACUCUGCGACUUUCAGCAUCGCAAACAACUCGCCGGGAGACUUGUUCAUCCCUUGCAUGUUGUAGUUCAACACGAAGCCUUUGUAGCUUGGCGGCAGUGAUUGAAGGAUUCUGUCAGUGAUAGCUUCUUGCGGGAGUUCAAUCCCCAGUUCAGCCAAACGGUUUGAGUACCCAGACAUUUUGAGCACAUGUUCACUGACAGACGAGUUUUCCUCCAUCUUGCAAGCAUAGAAUUUAUCGGAGGUCUCAUACCUCUCGAUCCGGGCGUUCUUCUGAAAGAUAAACUUCAACUCCUGGAACAUCUCAAAAGCUCCAUGACGCUCAAAGCGACGUUGAAGUCCCGGUUCUAAGCCAUACAAGACUGCACAUUGAACUAUUGAGUAGUCCUCCUUACGUGCUAACCAAGCGUUCUUAACAUCCUGAUCAGCCGUAGCGGGUGGUUCAUCUCCUAGCGCAGCAUUAAGGACAUAAUCCUUCUUUCCAGCUUGUAAGAUUAUCUUAAGAUUACGAGCCCAGUCUACAAAGUUGCUUCCAUCAUCUUUCAACUUAGCUUUCUCUAGGAACGUAUUAAAAUUGAGGAUGACACUUGCGUGAGCCAUGAUCUACAACACAAAUAUAUUCAAAGUGGACUUUAUACUAUGUUCAAGAUAAUUAGAGUUCAACUUAAUCAAAUUAUAUGCUAAACUCCCACUCAAAAAGUACAUCUCUCUAGUCAUUUGAGUGGUUCAUGAUCCACUUACACUAUCCCAAGUCCGAUCAUCACGUGAGCCGAGAGUAGUUUCAGUGGUAAGCAUCCCUAUGCUAAUCAUAUCAACUAUAUGAUUCAUGAUCGACCUUUCGGUCUCAUGUGUUCCGAGGCCAUGUCUGCACAUGCUAGGCUCGUCAAGCUUAACCCGAGUGUUCCGCGUGCGCAACUGUUUUGCACCCGUUGUAUGUGAACGUUGAGUCUAUCACACCCGAUCAUCACGUGGUGUCUCGAAACGACGAACUGUAGCAACGGUGCACAGUCGGGGAGAACACAAUUUCGUCUUGAAAUUUUAGUGAGAGAUCACCUCAUAAUGCUACCGUCGUUCUAAGAAAAAUAAGGUGCAUAAAAGGAUUAACAUCACAUGCAAUUCAUAAGUGACAUGAUAUGGCCAUCAUCACGUGCUUCUUGAUCUCCAUCACUAAAGCACCGGCACGAUCUUCUUGUCACCGGCGCCACACCAUGAUCUCCAUCAUCAUGGUCUCCAUCAACGUGUCGCCAUCGGGGUUGUCGUGCUACUUAUGCUAUCACUACUAAAGCUACAUCCUAGCAAAAUAGUAAACGCAUCUGCAAGCACAUAUGUUAGUAUAAAGACAACCCAAUGGCUCCUGCCGGUUGCCGUACCAUCGACAUGCAAGUCGAUAUUUCUAUUACAACAUGAUCAUCUCAUACAUCCAAUAUAUCACAUCACAUUGUUUGGCCAUAUCACAUCACAAUCAUACCCUGCAAAAACAAGUUAGACGUCCUCUAAUUUUGUUGUUGCAUGUUUUACGUGGUGACCAAGGGUAUCUAGUAGGAUCGCAUCUUACUUACGCAAACACCACAACGGAGAUAUAUGAGUUGCUAUUUAACCUCAUCCAAGGACCUCCUCGGUCAAAUCCGAUUCAACUAAAGUUGGAGAAACCGUCACUUGCCAGUCAUCUUUGAGCAAAGGGGGUUACUCGUAACGAUGAAACCAGUCUCUCGUAAGCGUACGAGUAAUGUCGGUCCAAGCCGCUUCAAUCCAACAAUACCGCGGAAUCAAGAAAAGACUAAGGAGGGCAGCAAAACGCACAUCACCGCCCACAAAACCUUUUGUGUUCUACUCGAGAAGACAUCUACGCAUGAACCUAGCUCAUGAUGCCACUGUUGGGGAACGUCGCAUGGGAAACAAAAAUUUUCCUACGCGCACGAAGACCUAUCAUGGUGAUGUCCAUCUACGAGAGGGGAUGAGUGAUCUACGUACCCUUGUAGAUCGUACAGCAGAAGCGUUUAGAGAACGCGGUUGAUGUAGUGGAACGUCCUCACGUCCCUCGAUCCGCCCCGCGAACAAUCCCGCGAUCAGUCCCACGAUCUAGUACCGAACGGACGGCACCUCCGCGUUCAGCACACGUACAGCUCGACGAUGAUCUCGGCCUUCUUGAUCCAGCAAGAGAGACGGAGAGGUAGAAGAGUUCUCCGGCAGCAUGACGGCGCUCCGGAGGUUGGUGAUGAUCUUGUCUCAGCAGGGCUCCGCCCGAGCUCCGCAGAAUCACGAUCUAGAGGAAAAACUAUGGAGGUAUGUGGUCGGGCAGCCGUGAGAAAGUCGUCUCAAAUCUGCCCUAAAAGCCCCAUAUAUAUAGGAGGAGGGAGGGGGACCUUGCCUUGGGGUCCAAGGGAACCCCAAGGGGUCGGCCGAGCCAGGGGGGAGGACUCUCCCCCCCCAAACCGAGUCCUACUUGGUUUGGUGGGAGGGAGUCCUUCCCCCUUCCCACUUCUUCCUCUUUUUUUUUCUUCCUUUGAUUUUUUCUUCCUUGGCGCAUAGGAUUUGGUGGGCUGUCCCACCAGCCCACUAAGGACUGGUGUGACCCCCACAAAUACCUAUGGGCUUCCCCGGAGUGGGUUGCCCCCCUCCGGUGAACCCCCGGAACCCAUUCGUCAUUCCCGGUACAUUCCCGGUAACUCCGAAAACCUUCCGGUAAUCAAAUGAGGUCAUCCUAUAUAUCAAUCUUCGUUUCCGGACCAUUCCGGAAACCCUCGUGACGUCCGUGAUCUCAUCCGGGACUCCGAACAACAUUCGGUAACCAACCAUAUAACUCAAAUACGCAUAAAACAACGUCGAACCUUAAGUGUGCAGACCCUGCGGGUUCGAGAACUAUGUAGACAUGACCCGAGAGACUCCUCGGUCAAUAUCCAAUAGCGGGACCUGGAUGCCCAUAUUGGAUCCUACAUAUUCUACGAAGAUCUUAUCGUUUGAACCUCAGUGCCAAGGAUUCAUAUAAUCCCGUAUGUCAUUCCCUUUGUCCUUCGGUAUGUUACUUGCCCGAGAUUCGAUCGUCAGUAUCCGCAUACCUAUUUCAAUCUCGUUUACCGGAAAGUCUCUUUACUCGUUCCGCAAUACAAGAUCCCGCAACUUACACUAAGUUACAUUGCUUGCAAGGCUUGUGUGUGAUGUUGUAUUACCGAGUGGGCCCCGAGAUACCUCUCCGUCACACGGAGUGACAAAUCCCAGUCUUGAUCCAUACUAACUGAACUAACACCUUCGGAGAUACCUGUAGAGCAUCUUUAUAGUCACCCAGUUACGUUGCGACGUUUGAUACACACAAAGCAUUCCUCCGGUGUCAGUGAGUUAUAUGAUCUCAUGGUCAUAGGAAUAAAUACUUGACACGCAGAAAAACAGUAGCAAUAAAAUGACACGAUCAACAUGCUACGUCUAUUAGUUUGGGUCUAGUCCAUCACGUGAUUCUCCCAAUGACGUGAUCCAGUUAUCAAGCAACAACACCUUGUUCAUAAUCAGAAGACACUGACUAUCAUCGAUCAACUAGCUAGCCAACUAGAGGCAUGCUAGGGCGUGUUUCGCUAUGUAUCCACACAUGUAAAUGAUCUUCANNNNNNNNNNNNNNNNNNNNNNNNNNNNNNNNNNNNNNNNNNNNNNNNNNNNNNNNNNNNNNNNNNNNNNNNNNNNNNNNNNNNNNNNNNNNNNNNNNNNAUGAUGUUUUGACUCACAUCGUCGUAAUUUAUAUGUAGAUUUGAUCCCCUCAAACGGUUUACGACGAUCUCGGAUGAAAUUGUCAUAGAUUUAUGACGAAUUCAUCAACGACAUUUUAAAAAACAUCGCAUAUGAGCAUAUUUCUUGUAGUGGUAGUGUUGUAUGACUGGUGAAUGAUCGGUCCCCCUUGCAUGGAGGGCGACCGGGGGGUUUUAUAGACGAACCCGCCGGCCUACAAUAUGGAUAAAGGGUACAAGUGUGGGACCCGGCCGGCGGCCUCGCCGGCUGGUCGGGGGCCCACAAGAGUCUUGUCUUGUCGCUUGAGGGGCCCGCCGGCUGCAUGGUCUCAAUUAUGCGUGGGACCCGCCGGCUGGCCAAUGAGGCUCUCGCGUAAGGUUGACGCCGAGCACGCGCUGUACGUCAAGCGUCGCCCCGCGAGAUUCGUCAUGGGCAGGUAGUACGGCCGCCUCCACUGUUCCCCGCGCCGAGUGCAGUAAUGGAGUGGGAGUGUGAUGGUCCGAUAGUAUGCUAGAUGAUGGAUCAGAGCCGGGGUAGGUCAACGGCGUGGCCGCCGACGCUCGUACCUGUCGGACGCCCUGAUCCAGUACCUUUGCUGACGCGUAGCUACCUUUAAUCGUGAGGUCUUAUUGUGACCUACGAUCUGAUAUGACUUGUGCUCUUCGGCCGGCUAGCCUGCUUGGCUAGCCGGCUUAUGUGUAGCCGCCUCCUCCCUAGCCCGGCUGGCGGGACAAGGCCGACUCGGAAGAGGAGGCCGCCUCGUCUCUAGCCGGCUGGGGUUGCCCGGCCGGCCAAAGGGAUGGCCGCCUCAUCCUCUAGCCGGUAGACGUUGCCUAGCCGGCCAGAAGACUUGGGCCUUGGGGAAUCUGUAUACGUUCAUGUCCAUUCGGCCGGAAAUGGAGGAACAGGCUCGAUGAGCCUACCCCGGGGUCAUCCCCCCGACAAGUGUUGUCACUUGAUAACUCGAAGACUUCAUUAGGAGAAUCAUGUGAUGGACUAGACCCAAAUUAUGAACGUAGCAUAUUGAUCGUGUCAUUUUGUUGCUAUUGUUUUCUGCGUGUCAAGUAUUUAUUCCUAUGACCAUGAGAUCAUAUAACUCACUGGCACCGGAGGAAUACCUUGUGUGUAUCAAACGUCGUAACGUAACUGGGUGACUAUAAAGGUACUCUACAGGUAUCUCCGAAGGUGUCCGUUGAGUUAGUAUUUAUCAAGACUGGGAUUUGUCACUCCGUGUGACGGAGAGGUAUCUCGGGGCCCACUCGGUAAUACAACAUCACAAACAAGCCUUGCAAGAAAUGUGACUAAGUGUAAGUCACGGGAUCUUGUAUUACGGAACGAGUAAAGAGACUUGCUGGUAACGAGAUUGAAAUAGGUAUACAGAUACUGACGAUCGAAUCUCGGGCAAGUAACAUACCGAAGGACAAAGGGAAUGACAUACGAGAUUAUAUGAAUCCUUGGCACUGAGGUUCAACCUAUAAGAUUUUCGGAGAAUAUGUAGCAUCCAAUAUGGGCAUCCAGGUCCCGCUAUUGGAUAUUGACCGAGGAGUGUCUCGGGUCAUGUCUACAUAGUUCUCGAACCCGCAGGGUGUGGACACUUAAGGUUUGUUGAUAUUUUAGUAUAGUUGAGUUAUAUGUGUGGUUACCAAAUGUUGUUCGGAGUCCCGCAUGAGAUCACAGACGUCAUGAGGGUUUCCGGAAUGGUCCGGAAACGAAGAUUGAUAUAUAGGAUGGUUUCGGGCAUUUCCGGCAGUGUACCGGGAGUGACUAAUGGGUUUCGGGUGUUUACCGGGAGGGGCCCAUCCACCUGGGAGUGAGCCCAUGGCCUUAGGGUGGCGCACCAAGUCCUUAGUGGGGUGGUGGAGCCAGUCCAAAAGGGCUAUGGCGCCACAAGUAAAAAUACCAAAGGAAAGCAAAAAAAGGAAAGAGGGAGGUGGGUAGGAAGAGGAGAACUCCUCCUUCCCAAACCGAAUUAGAGGAGGAGUCCUCCUCCCCCUUCGGCCGUCACACCCUUGGGGCCCUUGUGCCCCAAGGCUAGCCCCUCCCCUCCUCCUAUAUAUAUUAGUGGUUUAGGGCUUUUUGAGACACAACUUUGCCACGUGCAACUCAAUCCUAUUCCACAUAGUUUUGCCUCUAGAUCGGAUUUCUGCAGAGCUCGGGCGGAGCCCUGCAGGAGUAGAUCAUCACCACCACCGGAGCGCCUUCACGCUGCCGGAGAACUCUUCUACUUCUCCAUCUCUCUUGUUGGAUCAAGAAGGCCGAGAUCGUCAUCGAGCUGUACGUGUGCUGAAUGUGGAGGUGUCGUCCGUUCGGCGCUAGAUCAGAUAGGAUCGUUGGACGGAUCGUGGGACGACGGUGAUUUGAAUCACGAAGCUGUACCACUACAUCAACCGUGUUUCUUAACGCUUCCCGCUUAUUGAUCUACAAGGGUACGUAGAUCUAAUCACCUCUCGUACAUGGACAUCACCAUGAUAGGUCUUCGUGUGCGUAGGAAAAUUUUGUUUCCCAUGCGACGUUCCCCAACAUUAGUAACGUUAUCAACAUCAAGUAGAAUAUGAGUAUACCCAUUAGAAGAAGGAAAAUGGUCCCAUUUAAUCAUUGCGCCAAACAUCAAAUGGUUCAGUAGCAACUAGCAAGUGAAUAAUUCAAAGGCAUUUCCUGACAUCUACAAAUAUUAAAAUUCUUUGAAAAUCACAAGAAAGGACAUACUUACAAGCAUCUUUAAAAAGAGUAGGCCAAUAGAAACCGGAUUGUAAUACCUUGUGUGCAUUUCCUGCGGUAGCUUGUGUGCUCUCUGUUGUCAUAUGGCUUAAUUUCUACUUUCUUAUAGGGCUGAGUAUUACCGGAGGCAAUUCAGGGCCAACCCUGUAAGCAAUGUCAUCUUCCUCCUCUUCCAAUUUUUCAAUCUCAAUUCUUUCACAUGCUUCACAAACAAAACAAGCACCUUUAAAUUCACAGAAGCUCUUGCCAUCUUCGGAGAGUCUACAUCAAAAUCAAUUGAGAACAAUUCUCCUAGUGUUUUACCCGGUGGGCACCAGAACACAAUAUCGAACUCACCAGGUGGAUAUUUCAGCUACCACAAAAUAUAGUCAAUCAUAUCAUUGCAGAAAGUGUUCCUAUCAAGGUUAUCAACACAAAUACUUUUUCAUCCAAAUAUGCCAAAUUAAGUCCUUUUCCCAUGAAGAAACCACCAAGAUGCAUCUCUAUACUGAAUUUUCCUGAAUCCGAACCUAUAUUGCAAAAUUUAUCAUUAGUUCACUAACCCUAGCAAGCAAUCGACAGAUGAAACAUAAGAGUGGGUACAAUCCUACAAAAAAAAGAUCAAGAACCUAGAACUUAUACUAAUUCACUACCUAAUCUAUCAUAGACCUAGCUAUUAGGAGGGGGGAGCCAAUCAUCGUAGACCUAAUCUACCUGAUAUGGCAGCGUAAGCGGAUAAUCCUAGCUAUUAGAGGGAGGGGAGGAGACACAGGGCUAACCAUAGGUCGGGCGUCUAUCCUCUUCUGUCCUCAACUUCGGCUACAUCUCAGUCAUCUUUGCCCGUACACUUGCCGCCGCCGACCUCGACACACCCGCAACACCACCCGUCGCCUCACCCAUCGGCAAAUAGAGAAAAGAGUGUCUUUUGUGCAAAAAAAAAAAACUACCCACACACGUGACAUGUGUGCCUCGCGUGACCUUCGAAUCAGGCGGCAGUCCGAUCAAAAUGGUCAGUGUGACCUAGAUGCACCCGCGUGCAGUGUGACUUAAGUGUAGACGCAACACAAGUUUUCAGGGCGCUAGUUCCUUUUGCUCAGGUAGAAAUGNNNNNNNNNNNNNNNNNNNNNNNNNNNNNNNNNNNNNNNNNNNNNNNNNNNNNNNNNNNNNNNNNNNNNNNNNNNNNNNNNNNNNNNNNNNNNNNNNNNNCUCCUGACCUCCGAGGAGACGGCGAGGAUGGUGGUGGACAACGCCAACAUCCCCGGAUGGUGGGAGGACAGGUUCGAGAAGGCCAUGGUGAAGAUGGCCGGCAUCGAGGUCAAGACCGGUGACCAGGGACAGAUCAGGAAGAACUGCCGCGCAAUCAACUAGUACCAAUUAAGUGCGUGCAUGUACGUCUACGUGCAUGCAUGUCAAAGGAUCGUCCAGUGUUUUGCUUCAUCCUGCAUGCGAACUUUCUUUUUUUAGCACCUACAUUUCUUGUCUUUUCAUUUGUCAUUUCUUAGUUCUAUUUGCGCCAACGGAAUUAUUUGUGUAUAUGGAAUGUACAUGUGUAAAUGGGCUGCGGAAAACAAUGUUCUUUGUAUUUGGGA